GUGGUCGGACCUCCACAUGCAGAGGAGAUCCCGUUCUUCUGCAGGUCAACUGCGCCUCCCGUGGACGGUCAUCUCCACUGGAGCCAUUGCAUCAUCCCACCUCCCAGCGCUCAGGCCGUUCGCCGCUGCCAAAUCCGGCUGUUCAACGAUGUAGCACCAGGAGGUCCAGCGCCUCAACCCCUCCGAAUCCCAUGUACUGACGCUCAUCUUCUGCUUCCUUCUUCAACCCGGUGAUGUCGAGUACAUGGUGCGCUGCCACCAGCUUGAUUCCACUUGGGCUUUGUCUGCCAUGUUUUUGUGCGUGUGUGCUAUGUGUCUUAUUUGUGUGGUGACUGAACUUGUGCCUCGGAUUAUUUUGAACUGCUGCUUCUACAUUUGUUCGGUCCAUUUAGUCUCUAUUUGACUUCUCUUACAUUGUAUCCUGUAGGGGUACAAAAGUUUUCCGAAACAUUGUUCCUGUUAAUGUCUAUAAGAGUUGUUGUUCAGCAGAUUUCUGGUCGUAGUCAGGUGGAGACAGGGUUUGGCUCUGUGUUAAGACGAGAGGUUGCCACACAAUAAAUUGAGAUUUGCAUGUGUACUUUGACAUUGGUUUUCUCCUAGAUUGUGUUUUUGAUUUUGUUUACGUGAGAAAACAAUCUGUAUUGUAGAAGUUCAUUUCUUAUUGCCCGAGAGUUCAUGUAUUACUACCAAAAAAUUGACAUUUCAGAACACCAAUAGGAAAAAACAGCCAGCAGAAGUCCGUUCAGCAGUGGCGAGGCCGUUCAGUGACGCGAACCAAGGUCGUUCACUGGAUCGGGGUCAUCCCGUCGAUCCCCUCUUCGGCGCGCGCUGCUCGGCCUCCCACCAUGCAAGUCCACCGCUCGUUGCGUGCUGCCACUGUCGGGGCCGGCGAGACCCACCCGCCCACCUCCUGUCCCCGCCUGUGGCCGCUUAUGAAGUCCAGCCUGACUAGCCUAUUCACUAUCCCUGGAUACUGCCAAGCUGCACCAACACUUUUAGUUCCUAUUCCUCUCAGACUCGGUGUGCUCUACGGACGGGGAGGCAUGGAGCUGUCGACUAGUAUGGGAGGCGAGCUGCUACUGCGGUGAGGAACCCCUUCUCAAUAUUUUUUUGGAAUUUUUGUGAGGACCAUUUGUGGGAGACGCUGGUGGUGUUAAUUUUCUUUACUCUCUCCGCAGUUUUAGGCGACCUGUGAAGUGGUUAGUGAGUAGAGUGGUCGCUGCAUCCUGGGAGUAUGAGCUCAAAUCUUGGUCCGGUCUUUGCUAUUUGAACACAUGAUAUUACUCACCAGUUCAAGUGUACCUGCAGAUGGGAGAGAGCUCUAUGAGAUUUUGCAAGAACAAGACCGCAAUUUUAUAAAUUUGCCACUUGUUUAAAUAUUGGAUUUGGAGAUGGGGAGGCAGUCCAGCACCCAGUUCGGUGCUCUGGGAGAAACUGAAGAGCUUCCUGGGUAUAAACAAGCAGAGAAGCUUCAAUUUCCUGUCCAUGGAGAAGCAUCAGAGUUUCGAGGGGAGGAGGAGCAGGGACAACCCUGGAAAGAAGAGGGUGAUAGCGCACCACCUCGCGGCAAGGACCGGCAAUAUCUGCCAUGUUCGACAAAUGGUGCAGUUGUUCCGUUUGCCUCAUUCAAUUUGGUCCAUAGACUGUUGCCAUUUGAUAUAAGUGACAAAGAACAACUUAAACAGAAGAAACUAUUGUUGUUGUUCAGUACAGAGUACUACCGAACAUCAAGCUCAAUCUUGCCCGCUUUGAUGCUAUGUACGAGUGGAUAAGAUAGACACUGUGUUUGAUGCUAUGGAACAAUGGAUAAGGUGGAUAAGGUGGCUAAUAAAAUUUUUGGGAGAUGGAUAAUAAAGGUGUGUGGUAGAAAACCACUCGUACACUUCUUUUAGGAAAAAAAGGGUACACAAAAAUUAUACUUUGUUCAUUGCAUAUACACGUACUCUGAUUCAAUUUGAUAUUUGGACUAUGGAUGUUUAUGGCCUUGAACUGAUGCCUGAUUUUGUUAAACAUAUGGAAAAUAAUGUGAGCAGUUGGAUAGCAGUACACCAGCGAAAAAUAUAUGGAUGUUCAUACUUGGUGCGGUUUGUGUAGUCCGAGUUGAACUAAAACCACGACACUUAUUUUGGAUCGGAGAGAAUAGUUUUUUGUUUGUACAAAAUAUACAUUCAGUAUAGAAAUUCAACAUUUAUUCUAUCAGCAGCAAAAUAGUUUGAGUCAUUCAUUUUUUCUGUAGAAAACUGAUGUACUACUCUCUUUGGCUUCAAGUGUGCCUUGGAAAAUAAAUACCCAGAAAAUACAGUUUAUGAAGUUCAUAUUGGAAUGACAGAGAAGGUCGAAGUAGAUAACAUUAAAAUACUCCAAUAGUAAAGUUUGCAUAAAAAUCUAGAACAUACAGUCUGCAAGUUCCAAGAAAGAUUGAUAAUAAAUCUAAGAACUUCGAAUUAAAAUAACAGAGCAGCUUGAUAUUUAUAAAACAAGGGAUUUUCCAUUCUAAAAAGUAAAACCAAAACAGAACAUACAAGAAACACAAUGAACUUCAAAUUUGGAUGUUUCUAGAAACAUGAUAAAAAGUCCGAUCUCCCGAUUAAAAAAACAAAAAAAAUCAUGUUAGCACAUGAAGUUCGAUUAUUAAAAAAUACAAAAGUUAAAAAAAUGCAAAAAAGAAGACACAAGAAGUUAAAGAAUAAAAAGAAUAAGAAGUUCAAUAUUUCUAAAUAGACUAAUUCAAAAUUCAUAAGAAAAAGAUUUUCAUGGUUUCAAAAUAAAAAAACUCUAGAAGUUCAAAUCUAAAAUAUUGGACCAAUUCAUAAAACUAGGAUUUUUUUCUUACUAAAAUAAAACCAAGAAGUCCAAAUUACAAAAAUAGAGAAGUUCGAUAUUUAUAAAACUCAAAUUGUCCUUCUGGCUAAAGAAAAAAAAUGAAGAAGUUCAAAUAAAAAUAAAGGAGUAGUUGGACGUACACGGAAAAUUCAAAUUCUUUCCGUUUAUAGGAAAACUAGAAAUAUCAAGUUCAAUUUUUUUAAAUGCUUGUUGCUUAUGUAAAACAUAUUUUUUCUAAAAAAAGACUAAAAAGUUCAAAUUAAAUUAACAAAGAAGUCUGAAGUAUAUAAAAAACUUAGAUAUUUCUCAUUAUUAAAGAAUAAACUAAAGAAGUUCAAAUAAAAAAAUAAACAACUAAUUUUUUUAAAAAGAUUUUCCCAUUUUUUUAAACUGGAAGUCCAAACCAAAACAACAAAGUGUUUCGAUGUUUAUUUAAAAAGCUAGGAUUUUAGCUUUUUUUUCUUUCAAAAACUCAAGUAUAUUCGUUGUUAUUAAAGAAUCAACAAUGAUGUUCAAAUUGAAAAAACAGUGAAAUUCAAUGUUUUUUGAAAAAUUGGAUUUUUCUAGUUACUAAAGAAUAAAACCAAUAAUUCAAUUUCAAAUACCGAAGAUGUUCGAUGUUUGUAAAAAACAUCCAAUUUUCAUAUUCCUAAAAAUACACAAUGAAGUUUAAAUAAAAAGGGUAGAGCGAUUCAAUGUCUAUAAAAACUCAGAUAUUUUCACGUAACCAAGAGAAAUUCAGAUUGAUAACUGCCAGAAGUUCACGUACUACACGGUGUGCAUUUUGUAUAAAAAAGAAUAAAAAGCAAAUGCUAAAAAUUUGUUGCUAGAAGUUCAAGUGCUUGGCCCGAGAAAGUUCAAAAAUUCUUGUGAGAGAGGUUGAACAAAAAUACGUGACAGAAGUUCAAGGUGAAAACAACGAAAAGUUCAACUGCUACACGGAAUGCGUUUCAGAUAAGAAUAUAAGAAUAGAAAACAAAAAGCUUAAAAGGUUUGUUGCAAGAAGUUUAUGCGCUCCUCCGUGCACGGUUCAGAAUUUAUAUUGCGGGACAUCCGACCUCCUAUUACAUGUUUGAAAAUGGCAAAAAAAUGACGUCUGGCCUUCAAUUGCGUGUAAUUCGACAUAUACACAAAAAUGCGACAGAAGCUUAUAGUGAAAACAACGAGAAGUUCAAGUACUGCAAGGAAUUCAUUACAGGUGAGAAUAAAAGUAUAGAAAAAAUAAAAGCUUCAAAGGUUUGUUAAAAGAAGUUGAAGUCCUCUUUUCGGGGAAGUUAAAAAAUUCUUGCGAGAGACAUUCACCAUAUAUUCAUGUUCGAAAACACAAAAAAGAAAUUGUUUUUUUUUGCGUUUUAAAAUAAUUCUCUCAAUCUACAAAGAAGUUCAGUUAUUAUUGAGGAGAAAUUUGAUUUCAAAAAGAAAAUAAAAAAUCAAAUUAUAAAAACGGAAAAAGUUCAUGUACUACAUGGUGUGUGUUUAAUAUGAGAAAAAUGAAUAAAAAGGCAAGGUUUGCCUCGUUAUUAAAAAAUGGAAACAAGAAGUUCAAAACUUAAAUAACAAAGACGGUCAACUUUUAAUAAUAGAGCGCUUCAAAAAUUCAUAAAAAAGAUUAAGAAAUAAACCAGGAAGUCCAUAUUAAAAAGAUGGCGAAGUUCGAUGAUCAUAGAAAACUCAGAUUUUCCUCGUUAUGAAAGAAUGGAAACAAGAAGUUCAACUUUUAAUAAUAGAGCGCUUCAAUAUUUCAUAAAAAAGAUUAAGAAAUAAAACCAGGAAGUCCAUAUUAAAAAGAUGUAGAAGUUCGAUGAUUAUAGAAANNNNNNNNNNNNNNNNNNNNNNNNNNNNNNNNNNNNNNNNNNNNNNNNNNNNNNNNNNNNNNNNNNNNNNNNNNNNNNNNNNNNNNNNNNNNNNNNNNNNNNNNNNNNNNNNNNNNNNNNNNNNNNNNNNNNNNNNNNNNNNNNNNNNNNNNNNNNNNNNNNNNNNNNNNNNNNNNNNNNNNNNNNNNNNNNNNNNNNNNNNNNNNNNNNNNNNNNNNNNNNNNNNNNNNNNNNNNNNNNNNNNAAAACCAGGAAGUCCAUAUUAAAAAGAUGGAGAAGUUCGAUGAUUAUAGAAAACUCAGAUUUUCCUCAUUAUUAAAUAAUGGAAACAAGAAGUUAAAAAAACAAGAAGUUCAACUUUUAAAAAUAUAACGCUUCAAAAUUUCAUAAAAAAGGAUUAAGAAGUAAAAUCAGGAAGUCCAUAUUAAAAAGAUGGAGAAGUUCAAUGAUUAUAGAAAACUCAGAUUUUCCUUGUUAUUAAAGAAUGAAAGCAAGAAGUUCAAAAAUAAAAUAAUAAGAAGUUCAACAAUUAAAAAUAGAGCACUUCAAAAUUCAUAAAAAAUGAUUAAGAAAAACCAAAUUAAAAAUUCAUAAAAAACUUAAAUAUUUUCACGUAACCGAGAGUGGUCCAGGUUGAUAACUGCCAGAAGUUCAUGUACUACACGGUGUGCAUUUUUUAAUUGAAAAAAGAAUAAAAAAUCAAAGGCUAAAAGUUUUGUUGUUAUAAGUUCAAGCACUUCGUCGAAGAAAGUUAAAAAAAUUAUUAUGAGAGAGAUUUGUACAAAAGGAAUAUUAUUUGUGUAACACUUACGAUGGAUGAGAAAAUUACAAACGAAAAUACGUCACAGAAGUUCAACUGAAAACAGUAGGAAGUUCAAUUACUACAGUGGAUGAAUUUCAGAUAAAAACUUUUAAAAUUGUCGCGAAUAUGAAAAAACGAUCAACACGGGAAAGUUAAGUGCUUACAACAGCUUUCCACCGGUAUAUCACUUGCUCAAUUCCGUGAGUGGAUGGAGAGUUACGAGCAGUGGAUGGAGACCUACGAGAAAAAAAAUCACGUGAAAACAGAGUGAAGUUUAGGUACACGUGCCGAGAAGUUCAGAUUCUUCACGCGGUGCAUUUCUGAAGAAAUCUGUUUCGCGAUAUAGGCAGAACGAAUGAUCCCGCCAUUUUCGAAAUUACUUGAAAACGGCUAGGAAUCAGAGAAAACCAUCGACAUGAAAAAGUUUCGCAAUUUCCGUAGCUUUUCAACGAUAUAUUAUUUGCCUCAUUCCGAUAAAGUUUGUAGAAAUUACGGCAAAAAUAUGUUUUUGCCAUUUUCGAAACUGACUUAAAACCGUAAAGAAUUGGGAGAAACAAUACAUACCAAAAAGUUUCGCAUUUGUUCAAGCUUUCCAACUCCAUAUCAUUUGCUGCACUCGGACGCACAGUUAAAAAAUUAGCUCGAAAAUACAAACUCGGUAGGACUUGGACCAUUUUCUAAAUUACUCUUAAACCAUUCAAAAUUAGAAAAAAAACUUUCAAGAUGAAAAAGUAGCGCAUUUUCAUAAGUUUUCCAACGCCAUAUCAUAUGCCUCCAUUGGAUUAGCCCUUUAGAAAUGACAUCGAAAAAACGAACUCAGCUGUUCGGUUUACAAAAUUUUACAUUUUUUCAAAUUACUCUUUAACCAUAGGGAAUUAGAGAAAACUUUCAACAUGUGGAAGGAGCGGUUUUGCAGCAUCUUUCAACGCCAUAUUAUAUGCCUCAUUCCGAUAAACGGUUUAGAAAUGUGAUCGAAAAUACGAUUCACGUUUUUUGUGCGAAGAAAAAAUGGUUUUCAAAACUGCUCUUAAACCGCUUAUAUUUUGCCAAAAAUUUAAGUUGGGUCAUGAUAUUGGUGUCCAUAGCUUUCCAACGGUAUAUCGCAAGCCCCAUUUGGGCAAUGUUGGCGAAAGUUCAACCUAGUUCACACGGAAGUUCAACGUACUACUAGCGGGCAGGUCAGGUUGUGAUCAGAAUAUUAUUCUAAUCCCGUGAUCAGAAUAGUGUUUAUGUAUAGGGUCACGCUAUUCGUCACCCUGGGUAAGGAAUAGUUAUUCUUCACCCCCCUCUAUUUUACCAUCAAUGCACCAUAAUUUUACGUUCCGUAAGUUUUUUAUUUUUUUCUAACGCAAAAAGAGACCAUAAGAAAAUAUAUAAUCGCCGUAAAAAAUACUUUAUGUUAUGUAAAAUUACAAACGUAAAAACAUAGUCUAAACUACACAUAAAAUGCAAAUUUUCUUGUCUUAUGACCUAUAUUUUUAUUUUCUUAUGUCAAAUUUUACGUAGUGAAUCAAUAGGAAUGUAACUAUUUGAAUUCCAAAUGUAAUUUAAUUAUGAAAUGAUCAUAAGAUUACCUCGGAUGAAGAAUAACUUAUUCUGCACCCUGAAUGAUGAAUAGUAACACUAUAUAUAUGAGAGGGAGGGGCGCCAUAGACACACCAUGAUUCCCUAGUCGUGUGCGGCGCCGCUCUCCCUCUAGUUCAUCAUCGGACAUAUUUUUGUAGUGCUCGACGCAGCCCUGCGAAGAUAGUUGCAUCACCACCAUCACCAUGCCGUCGUGCUGCCGGAACUCAUCUACUACUUCUCCCGUCUUUCUGGAUCAAGAAGGCGAGGACGUCAUCGAGCUGAACGUGUGUUGAACGCGGAGGUGUCAUAUGUUCGGUACUUGAUCGGGCGGAUCGUGAAGGUGUACGACUACAUCAACCGCGUUGAUAAACGCUUCCGCUUAAUGGUCUACGGGGGUACGUAGACACACUCUCCCCUCUUGUAGCUAUGCAUCUCCAUGGAUAGAUCUUGCAGGUGCGUAGACAAUUUUUGUUUUCCAUGCAACGUUCCCCAAUAGUGGCAUCAUGAGCCAAGUCUAUGCGUAGAUGAUAUGCACAAGUAGAACACAAAGGAAUUGUGGGCGGUGAUGUUCAUACUUCUUACCACCAACGUCUUAUUUUUAUUCGACGGCAUUGUGGGAUGAAGCGGCCCAAACCAACCUUACAUGUCCACGUACAUGAGACCGGUUCCACCGACUGACAUGCAACUUGUUUUGCAUAAAGGUGGCUGGCGGGUAUCUGUUUCUCGUAGUAUAGUUGAAUCAAAUUUGACUACUGCCGGUCCUUGAAGAAGGUUAAAACAACAAACUUGAUAAAUCACCGUUGUGAUUUUUGCGUAGGUAAGAACGGUUCUUGCUAGUUGCCCAUAGCAGCCACGUAAAACUUGCAACAACAAAGUAGAGGACGUCUAACUUGUUUUUGCAGGGUAUGUUGUGAUGUGAUAUGGUCAAGAUGUGAUGUGAUAUACGUUAUUGUAUGAGAUGAUCAUGUUUGGUAAUAUCGACAACCGACAGGAGCCUUAGGGUUGUCUCUUAAUUAUUGUAUGAAAUACAAGCGCCAUGUAAUUGCUUUACUUUAUCGCUAUGCGUUAGCAAUAGUUGUAGAAGCAAUAGUUGGCGAGACGACCCCGACGCAACGGUGGAGAUCAAGGUGUCGAGCCGGUGAUGAUGGAGAUCAUGAAAAUGCUUUGGAGAUGAAGAUCAAAAGCACAAGAUGAUGAUGGCCAUGUCAUGUCACAUUUUUUGAUUGCAUGUGAUGUUUAUCCUUUAUGCAUCUUAUUUUGCUUAGAACGACAGUAGCAUUAUAAGGUAAUCCCUUCACUAAAUUUCAAGAUGAAAGUGUUUUCCCGAGUAUGCACCUUUGCUAAAGUUCUUCGUUUUGAAGCACCUCGUGAUGAUAGGGUGUGAUAGACUCUAUGCUCACAUACAACGGGUGUAAGCCGGUUUUACACAAGAAGAAUACUUGGGUUAAACUUGACGAGCCUAGCAUGUACAAACAUGGUCUUGGAACACUAGCGACCGAAAGGUUGAACAUGAGUCAUAUAGUAGAUAUGAUCAACAUAGAGAUGUUCACCAUUGAUGACUACCCCAUCUCACAUGAUGAUCGGACAUGGGUUAAUUGAUUUGGAUCAUGUAGCACUUAGAUAACUUGAGGGAUGUUAAUUUAAGUGGGAGUUCAUUAGUAAUUUGAUCAAUUGAACUUAAUUUAUCAUGAACUUAGUCUUAAUAGUUUUUGCAUAUCUAUGUUGUAGACUAAUGGCCCGUGCUACCGUUCCCCUGAAUUUUAAUGCGUUCCUAGAGAAAGCUAGGUUGAAAGAUGAUGGUACCAACUACACGGACUGGGUCCAUAACUUGAGGAUUAUCCUCAUUGCUGCACAAAAGAAUUAUGUCCUUGAUGCACUGCUAGGUGACAAACCUGCUGCAGGAGCUAUUGCAGAUGUUAUGAACGUCUGGCAGGCUCGAUCUGAUGACUACUCAAUAGUUCAGUGUGCCAUGCUUUACGGCUUAGAACCAGGACUUCAAAAAUGUUUUGAACGCCACAUAGCAUAUGAUAUGUUCCAAGAGCUGAAGUUGAUAUUUCAAGCUAAUGCAUGGGUUGAGAGAUAGAGAAGAAGCCAUCUAGCUACUAGCUAUGGACCCGUAGGUCUGUGGUAAACUACUCACACAUCAUAGGAGGGGCAGUAAGGUUGAUGUAGAAGCCUCCAUGACCGAAUCCCCCUCCGGCAGAGUGCCAGAAAAGGCCCCAAGAUGGGAUCUCAUGAUAACAUAAGCUCCCGGCGGCGGAAAAGUAUUUUUGGUUUGCCCUCUGGUAUAUGGGGAAGAUUUGGGUAUUUAUGGAGCUGAGAUUAGGGUUAGAGGUGCCAUGAUGGGCCCACAAGCUCAUAGGGCGCCCCCCUAGGGCGCGCCUAGUGAGCUUGUGACCCAUUUGUGGCUCUUUCGGCCUCCUCCUGAAGCUUCCUAGGUGUCUUCUGGUCCAAGAAAAAUCGUCAAAUGGUUUUGUUCCGUUUGGUAUUGAUUUUCUGUAAAAGUCAAAAAACAAGGAAAAAACAGCAAUUGGCACUAGGCACUAGAUUAAUAGGUUAGUCCCAAAACUGGUAUAAAAUAGCAUAAUAAUUCAUAUAAACCAUCCAUGAUGGAUAAUAUAAUAGCAUGGAACAAUCAAAAAUUAUAGAUGUGUUGGAGACGUAUCACCCCCCUUCCCUUGUGGGGGGCGAAUUGGACUAGGGGAGGGAGUAGGACUCCUCCCCUAGGCCGGCGCACCAAGGGGGCACUUUCCCCAUUUGGUGGCUGCCCUCUCCCUCCUCUCUAACAUAUAUAUACUAGAGGAUUUACAACCUAUGUGGACACAAGUUUUGGAGCCUCCUCUAGUUGAUCUAGUUCCAGUUCUUGUUGGUCCUAGUUGAUUAAUUAGAGCUAACCCUAGCCACCUCUAAUCCUCAUAAUUAGAAACACCAUGUGGUUCCACUACAAAAAAAUACACUUCCGUGAUGAUACGUGUUUGUCACAGUAGGUCACGUUUUUUUGUCAUGCAUGUACAUCCAUGACGAUUUUAUGACAGAAUCAAGAUACUCAUACAUGUGUUGUCGUAGAAGUGUUCCAUGACAUUACCAAAAUUAUCAUCACGGAAGUGUCCACUUCCAUGACGAUAAAUGGUGCGUCAUGAAGUGUUUUCGUCAAGGGUAACCGACAUGUGGCAUCCACCGUGAUAGGUUACCGUUAAGCUACAGGGUCCGGUUUUGGAUCCAAUAACUCGUUAAUAGCCCGGACCGAUCGGAAUUUUCCACGUGUAAAAUUCUCAUUGGCCAGAGGAAACACGUGUUGGCUCACUGUUGGGACAGAUGUCAUCCACUCAUUAGACAGGAGGCGCCUAUGAUACAUCAACACAUGGCACGGCCCAACAGAGGCCCAUUCUGGUUAAAAGGCUGGCCCGUUUGACUUGGUCAAAAAGUAACGGGUCAGCCCACGGAAAGCCUGUUAACGGCAUGUUCGUAUAUAGCCCAUUUACGGCCCGCUAACUCCCGACCCGUUAAUUAAAGCCAAGUAGCUUCAUCUGGCCAUCCAAUAUGAUUCCAGCCCGUUGUAACUUCAGGCCCAUGUAUGGCCCAUGAUGUCUUUCGGCCCAUAUGAGGCCCUUUGUAACUCUGGGCCCAUUAAAGGCCCAAGAUGAAACAGACCGAUAAUGAAUAGGCAUCACUUUAUACCCAUUAAUGGCCCAUUAUUCCGUCGGCCGUUUCCAGCCCAUGUUAACUUUCGUCCUUCUAAGGGCCCAUUUAUCCUUGGGCUCAUUUCUAGAAUUUGGUUAGUUAUGGUGUGUUAUUGGCCUGUUCCGUUUGUGAGCCAAAUUCAGCCCGUGGUUACAUUCGGCCUGUUUGUGGCCCAUUAACCCGUUGGGCCGUUUUCAUAGCGUUAUCAACUACGCCUAUUAACGGCCUGUUAUGGUCCACGAAUAAUACAACCCAUGUUUGGCGAAAUGAUUAUACGCCCCGUAGAAGGCCCAUGGAUCCUAUGGCCCAUAGAAGGCCCAUGGAUAUAUGGCCCAUGGAAGGCCCAUGGAUCAUACGGCCCAUCGAAGGCCCAUGGAUCAUACGGCCCGUAGAAAGUCCAUGGAUCCUCUGGCCCGUAGAAGGCCCAUGGAUCCUAUGGCCCGCAGGAGGCCCAUGGUUACAACAGUCCGUGUGUUGCCAUGAUGAUUAUUGUGGCCUAGUUACAAAAAAUAAGUUAUUGUGGCCACUAGAAAAACGCGAAAAAAGAACUGCAGUGACUACAAGCAAACAACUAAACAAGACAAUAAGGAAAUAAAUAAGCAAGCAACUAACGCUAGCCUAUUACAGCUAUUACACAUAUUACAUCCACUGGGCAUCAAAGUUUGCCACCGGUGCAAAUAUAGGGAACAAAGCAGCAUAUUACAUACACUGGCCGUCAAAAUUGGCCACCAGUGCAAAUAAACACGGCAGCAAAACAAGUCCAUGACUGAAACAACUUCAGAAGAGCUCAAGAAACGUUAUCCUGGGUAUCCACCAUGCUGGCAAUAAGCUUAGCAAGCUUAUCAGCUUUGUCCUGUUUGGCGCUAAAAUCCGCCAACGCUUGCUAUUGCACCAGAAAGUAUGCAUCUAAAUGCUCCAGGGACUUCCGAAGUCCUUCCGCUUCUUGUCACAGCACAGCUGAUCGAUGUCUUUCAGCUUGUAGUUGAGACUCAAAAAACCAAACUGAUUCAGACAGUGAGUUUGAAUAUCUUAUGCAAGCGGUAGUGGCCAGUAACUCGAACAAUAAACCAAGACAGGACUUUGGGGUUGUCUCGCUGUCUUCAAGAAAGUUUUCCUUAGCUGUUUUAUCAGCUUUGUUGGAGACUAACAAGGAUGUCUAUCGAUCAUGAACCUUACCUGCAUUACUUCCUUUACCAUUGCUUAAUAAGGCACUCUUUCCCAAUAUUAUGUUAGCAUUCUAAAAGAAGAAACAAGUAGACACAUAAUAGGUUUAGCAUGUACUAGUAUAUGAAACUCAUUUUGGUGAACCAGUUCAUUAUUAAGGUGGAUAAGAUUAAACUACCAAGUCUUCUAUUGCCAAGUAGUACAUUAUAAAAGCAUCAAACAAACAUAUAUAUCUAUGUCCUAUGGUCACUGCAUUGUCUUGCCAAAUCAAAAUAGAGACAUAGUUCAAAUCAUACCAGUUCAAGACAAAGCAGCACAACAACAAGAUUUCAGAUGGGUACCACGGGUCUACAUGCACAACAACACUAUUGGCCCUGUUGUGAUACUAGUAAUGUGCAUGAUAUGAGAAGUCAACUGUAUACACAAUUAAAAUUGAAAUCAACAGAGCUAUUUAUAAGAGCAAACCUGUUAAAGAAACAUGCGUAAACAUACUUCUUGUGCCAUUGGAGUUUCCAUUGGAUCAUUCAAUUUAAAAAUAAGUUUGUAUGAGUACAUACAGUAAUACAAGAGCAAAGCAGUAUGCACGAUAGCAAUGGAAUCUUAAAUGAGAACAGUUGUUCUUUAGGUUUAAGCACUUGUUCUACAUGAACAGAGUACAGCAAGACGCAAGCAUAUAGUACUUAAAAUAAAAUGAGCUCAUAGACCUUACCACAUUUUUGGUUCGGAACUAGUAUAGAACAAGGCGUUCCCAGCCGUCGUCCAGUAAAUGUGUCUCAGGAGAACGUCAGGGAAUUUGCUGAGUUUCUUUGCCAGUGAAGUACGUUUUCUUCAGGUAAUUCCGAUACUGCCACUAAGCAUUCUUGAAGAUAGCAGAGGUAUUAGCACAGGUUACCUCAUCUCGAGUUUCCAAAUCGUUCUUUCUCUAUAGAUAAAAAUGGGAAAAUUUGUUGUAUUAUAACCAUCAUGGAGGUAGAAUGUAUGGGACAAAGCAAAGUAAUUGCCAUGAAUAACAUUACUUACACAUAACUCCUGGACAAACACCUGCAACUGGCAUUUUCCUUCAUUUUCAGUAUAAUAUUUCCAUGAUGGGAAGAUACGCACAUAGGAUUUAACAACAUCAAAUGUGAUAUAUGCUAAACUAUGAAUGGUUGGUUGUGCUUCCUCCACAGGAAUAGGUGUACUAACUGGUGGAGUUGGGGUUCGCCGUGGUAGUAUUGGCGCUUUGGGCACUGGAGAUGCCUUACUAACUGCUCUUGUUUGGGAUCUCUAUGGUGGAGAUGGUGAUGUGUCAACAGGAACUGGGUUACUAUCUGCUGGGGUUGGGGUUAGAUUGGGUGAAGUUGGUUCUCUGUCCAUCGCAGUAGGGGUAAAAUCUGUGAGAGUCUGGGUUAUGUGUGGUAAGGCUGGUUCUCAUGCAUGUACAUCUGAAGUGCUAUCUCCACCAAGAGGUAGCACUGUUUUAUUUGAAGACCGUGUUUUUACUCCUCUAGAUACUACCAUCACCCGCUCUAAUCCAAAUGGCUGAUAAACAGGAAACAUAGUUGAAUGUACAGACAUUGUAUGAGAGACAGAUGCAAUAGAUAGUGUUGAAAAAGAGGGCAUGAAAUAGUUGACAUGUAUAUUGUUUAACUAAAACGGACAACAUGACAUAAUUUCACAUAUAUGAUGUCUAUCUAAACUGGAUAGCCUAGCAUAACAUAAUUCAAAGAUAUGAGGACUAACUAAACAGGAUCGCAUGACAUAAUUCACAUGCAUGUUAUCUAAGUAAUCAGGAUCACAUGUUUUAAUUCACAUAUGUGAUUUAUAUGCGAAGCAGAGGGCAUUCGCAUAUAUGAUGUCUGAACUAAGAACAUGGUGUUGAAUAUUGUGUAUAUGAUGUUUAAACUAUGCAAUGCAAGACACCAUAUGCAUGAUAUGAGCAGUAUAACCGUGCCAAGUUAGAGCAUACACCUCGGUGGGGGAAUAGGACUGGUCAUCUGUCUCUGAAUCCAUCUCUAAGGAGCUAUCAGGACCCAGCAAGAGAUCUCCUUCGACAGGUAGCACUGUCUGCUUUGAAGGCCCUGUUUUCACUCCAGAUUUUUUUCCAUCACCCACUCAAAUGGCUGAUUCACAGGAAGAGUAGUUUAAUGUACACACAUUGUCGACAAAUGGAAAUGAAUGAAGAAAAGGAUGGGCAAGAUAUCAUUCAAAUAUAUGAUGCAUGGUUAAACAGGAUGGCAUUGCACAUUUCACAUAUAUUAUGGAUGGCUAAAAGACAUGAGACUGCAUAAUUCCCAUAUAUGAUAUUGAAACUAAACAGGUGGCAUUAUAGAACAUGUCUAAACUAAGCAGAUGACAUAUAUUAUGUCGAAAGUAGGCACUGCAAGGCAACAUAUGCAUGAUAUGACUAACAUCAUCAUGCCAAGUUAGAGCAAACACCUUGGUGGUAAAUAGGAGUGGUCAGCUGCAUCUGAAUCCGCCUCAGAACCGAUAUCUUCCUAUGGAUUACAAUCUGGAGAGGGGGGGGGGUUGCCAUUGAAUCCACCAUGGAGCAAUGUCUACAUGACAUUGUAUUGCCGCGCAAAACUCUUCUCUUUUUCUCUACAUGUUUAGCAUGACUGUGUACAAUAUCUGACAUGCAUACAAAAAAAUAUAGUGUGAUUAUGUAAGGAGAGCAUGCAUAAAUCUAGAGUAAUGGUAACAACCAGUGGAUGGAUCCAAAAAUAAUGAUAGCAGGCUGAUGAUUGCUUUAAUUUAAUAAAAAAAGAUGAUGAUUGCUUUACUAUUUGUUUCCCACCCAAUAUGAACAACAUAGGCGUACCCGAGGUGAACCACAUAUUAGACAAAGAUACUAUUCAUUGCUGCCUCGAUAGGUGCCCCACAACUAAUUUAGAACUCAAGUUUGAACAUCAAUUUGGACCCGACUUGGAGUCUAAGAGGUGAAUAGGACAAUAAUGUAGCAGGUAAUAUUAAGCAAUGCGUAACAGAAGCAGAAACAAAAGAGUGCGACCUCUCUUGUGGACCCGUGUACUCCUCAGGUUCAUCUGCUGAGUCGAUGAUGGUGGUGCCAUUGCGGUGGGUGCCAGCAGCAGGGAAGGAGAUAUGAGGCGGCGAAAGACGGUUGGGAGUCGGGAUGUCUGGUUUGGUGGAUGCUUCUGUCGAUGGAGCAGCUCGGGUGAGGUGGACGAUGCCACGGCAGGAGCAGGACAAACCACACAAAGUUUUCUUCAUCAUCUACCUGCAACUGAAGUAAUUCUGAAAGGGCUCAUUUGGCUUGCAUGAUUCUAAAAACGCAGGGAUAGGAAAAACACCGAAAUAGGAUAGGAAUGCACAUGGGAAACAAAGCAUUUGUGAACACAUGAUUUCUGUCAACUUGGGUGUUUGGUUCACAAGAAUUGGAGGAGUAGAGGAAUGCAAAGAAACAUGGCCAAAAUAAAGUGAAACCAUAUGAAAGCGUGUACAGUUCGAAUGUUAUUUUGCCACUAAUGCACUUGGUCUUGUUUUCAUGCAUAGGAUUUUGAAAAGUAGGUCCAUGUAGAUGUUUUUCUCCAUUCCUUUCAACAAAAUGCAUGAAUAAUUGAAUAGUAGAGUGCCAUAGGAAAAUUUCCUAUUGCUAUGUUUUUUCCGUUGAACCAAAAUUGCCCUAAUGGAUUGACAUGAAUGUAGAGUAAUAAGUGAUGCGACAAGUGUACAACCUCUUUACCGUAGCCGUGUUGACCUCAGCAUCAUUGGGUUGGUUGCUGAAGAAGUUGAGGUAGAGGUGGCUGUCGGAGGUGUGGGAAGAUCUGAGGAAUCUAUAGACGGCGUCCAGGGCACUGCUCUACUGUGAUGGAUCGUUCCAUCGUUGGAGAAGCUCUACUGAGCCGUAAGAUGUCGAGGCUGAAGUAGCACAAGACAGACAUCGUUAAUCUCAAGUGGGAUUCUAAUAGCAUCUCCUAUAAAUGAUGUAAAAUACAUUACCACCAAUAACCACCUGACUACAACAGAUGAGGUAAAAUUGUUGACUCUAAACUUAAUUGUCGAAACUGAAAUUUACUGUGGAAUUUGAAUGUUACUAUCGAAGCUGAAUGCAAUGGUAGCAGAGAGGCACUUCACAUGUAGUUUAGGGAGGGCAUGUAGUUCAUCUUCAACCUGCACCCCCCUAAUCCCCCAGCCACCACCGGCCGAACCACCGGCCCCCGCACCGCCUCGCCGCCCCAAAACAACUCCCCACCGUCGGUCCGCCACCACCUCGCCGUCCCGAAACAACUCCCCACCGCCGGUCCGCUACCGCCCCGGCCAGCCCUCUAGCCCCCCCUCGCGCCAAGCUUNNNNNNNNNNNNNNNNNNNNNNNNNNNNNNNNNNNNNNNNNNNNNNNNNNNNNNNNNNNNNNNNNNNNNNNNNNNNNNNNNNNNNNNNNNNNNNNNNNNNNNNNNNNNNNNNNNNNNNNNNNNNNNNNNNNNNNNNNNNNNNNNNNNNNNNNNNNNNNNNNNNNNNNNNNNNNNNNNNNNNNNNNNNNNNNNNNNNNNNNNNNNNNNNNNNNNNNNNNNNNNNNNNNNNNNNNNNNNNNNNNNNNNNNNNNNNNNNNNNNNNNNNNNNNNNNNNNNNNNNNNNNNNNNNNNNNNNNNNNNNNUAGCUAAAUUGGAGCGGAGCAGUAGCACGAGCGAGGGGGAGAGAAGUAGCAGCAGCGCGAGCGAGCGAGAGCUGGAGCAGCAGCAGUAGCCCAAGUGAGGGAGCGAGAGCCGGAGCAGCAGCAGCGCGAGCGAGCGAGAGCCGGAGCAGCAGCAGCAGAUCCGGCUGGUAUGGACGCUGCUGCCGAAGGGGCCUCGCACUGGGGGAGAGCCGUCGUGGAUAUGUCGGCUGCAGCGCUGGCUUCGAGGUAGCUGCUCCAUGGGGGUGCAAGGUGGAGCACCAUCAGCACCGGGAGGUCGAGUUAAGGAUAAGGUGCGAUGCGAUGAGUGUACAACCUCUUUGGUGGCGCCGAGUAGGCCUUGGCUUUGUUCGAGGAGUUGGUGAGGAUGAUGCGGUUCCGAUGGAGCGGGUUAAGGCGGCGCUGUGGGGAUGGAGCAGCCGCGAUAGAUGAGGUGAUCCUCAGAGCAGCUCCUUGGAGGUGGAGGACGGGGCGGCUGAACUGGCGGGACAACAAGAUGGACGACGGAUCCUCAUCUGGGGAGGUGGAUGAGGGACGUCGAGCUAUUGUGGCAGACGACAUCAUUGGGGAAGAGGCUCCGGCUGGGCAGCGGUGAGGUGGCGGACGGAGGAGCGUGGGGUUUUGCGGCUGGAGCUGAGAGGUUAUGGUGGCCUGGAAUUUCGAAUGGAGAAAAGGAGGCAAUGGGAGGGGGAAACCAUGACUUAGGGACGCGCUUGUCCAAAAUGUAGGGUGUGUUACAAAAGUACCCCCACCGAUUUGAACUAGCAGCCCUUUUGGCUCAGGGUUAGAAGUGGGAUUUCGUGUGUCGGGAUUUGGCAGCUGGAGGGAGUUUUCGCGCGGGUUAUAAUUUCGGGAUAGCAAGGCGUGGGUUGUGAAGGCACCAGUUUUGGGAGCACGAUAUCUGAAUUUUUGGUAUAUAACAAGGCACGGGUUGAAUUUUAGGGACAAGCCUAACGUGUAAUAUUGUACUUGUACGUACCAAAUCAAUUUGCACUCCCCUUAACGAAAAAAAUGAAAAAAAAAUAAAACUAUUCACACCACACAAAUAGAGAGUUUUGUCCCAUUUUACUAUACAAAUGUUAUUCAAAGCUAUGAAUCCAUGUUAUGUCCAAUUAAAUUUUUUCGAUGGCUAUAUAAUGCAUGUAACCUACUCAUACCAACAUUUUAGUGCAUUCCAAAUGUCUAUACUACUGCUGCAAUUCGAAAUAAAUUUGAAUUCCUUUCUCUAUUUCAAUAAGAAUCUACAAUCAUGAUUGUUGCCAACUUCAACCAUCAUUCAUGUAUUACCUUAACAACACACCACAUGAUUACUAUAGAGAUAGAUAUGAACUAUGUGUACUAGAUGAACUCGAAUUCAAUUUUUUGAAUACACUUGAUUUUGAUUCCAAAUAAUAGUACAUUUGAUGUGCUAACUAUAUAUUCAUAAUCUAAACCAUGUUCCAUACCCCCUACAUUAUGACAAGUAUUUAGACCCGAGCUGCAAAAGCCACACUUUAGCCCAAAUUAUAAUCAAUGUUCUAUAUAUUAUAUGUAGUACUAGCAAGAUGCCCAUGCAUUCCGCGGAACAUCAAGAUGAUCGAGGGGAGGCCUUAUUUGCAAAUAUGGAGAGGGGUGUGGGUAUCUUUUUUCAUAAUUGCCAUUGUUUCCUUCCUAUCCGUCAGAUAUAAAUCGGACGGCCUAUAUUGCAAGAUAGCAGGCACACCAUCAUCAACAACUUUGUUUUUUAUAAGAGUAGAGAUAAAAUAUAUUAUAUGUAGUAUAACAUGUUCAUAACAACACCAUGUGUAUCACCGUUAUAUAUAUUCACGUGCGCGUCGGUUUAAAACACUAUGAUAAAUUCUUCAAAUAUCUGAAUUCACUUUUUAUAAUGAAUUAUGGUCUGAAUUCGUCUUUUACACCCACACAAUCCUCUUAUCUUUGUAGAUAGCACUAACUUUCUCUCAUGCAUGCACACGCCUGCAUCCCUCUCACCCUCCCUCAGCAUUCUCUAGCUCCAUCACGCAAAUUCGUCUUUUCACUUUAGGUCAUUCACCCACGGUGUGUGUAGGCCCCCCAGCUCCUUCUUUACGGCACACAUCGAUCGAUAUGCUUCUCUAGCCAGGUGUGCCUACCACAAACACAAGCUUUCCCUCUUCUCUUCUCACCGUCCAUGCCUCACCCCACCCCUCUUUUCAUCGAUCUCGUACUCGCACACUCCUUUCCCCUCGAUAUAGUAUGCCUGUCGCACCACCUCCUAGAUGCAUCCCUCUCUCUCUCUCUAUCCUUCUCCCCAGGCCUUAUUUGCUUCUAACACAUACAUGCAUGUAUACCGAUCGAUCUCCCUACAUAUACCUAGAUCAACUUUAACUAUUUUCCCACCACCCAUCGAUCGACGUACCUCAUAAGUUAUGUCUCUCCUUUCUCUGACAAAGGACGAUUGAUCUUCCUAUGUAGUUACGUCUUCUUACCACAGCCAUAUCGUCCCCCCACAUCAUUCAUGCAUGCCUCCUGACUCGUCUCUCACACGCACAUGCACAGACAGGCAGCCAUCCCCUCUCUUAUUGAUAUUGUAGGCGUUCCAUCCGUUUGUCUAGCAAGCUUCUCCCACCAUUUGUUAGAAGCAACUCCACCACCACCCCCUCCAACACUCUAGCUCUGUCUCUCUCCCAACCUAAUUCCUCUCCUACACAUAUGCAUGGAUGUCGUUCGAUCUCCCUCAAUACAUAAGGUUGUCCUCUCUCCUCCUCCACACAUAUACCAGCCAUUGUACCUUUAUAGUUAAUUAGGUCUCCCCCACCCCCAACCACACAUUGAUAGCGCUGUAGGUAGGUAUACAUGCCACAAAGACAAACUGCACAUGUCCCCUCUCACGUUCCAGUAGGACAACCACCCUAUAUCUUUGACGUGGACACAUAAAAAUUCGAUGGCACUCUUUAUCGAUCGCAUGUGCGUUGAUAGCUCUCUGACUAUAGCGCCAGAAAAGCUCUUGUCUGCUAGGACUACAUCGGUAUUUCCCCAAAGAGGAAGGGAUGAUGCAGCACAUCGACGGUAGGUAUUUCCCUCAGUGAAGAAACCAUGGUUAUCGAACCAGUAGGAUAACCAAGCAACACAACAUAAAUAGCACCUACACACAAAUAACAACACCUCGCAACCCGACGUGUUAAAGGGGUUGUCAAUCCCUUUCGGGUAACAAUGCCAGAAAAUUGUAGUAGAUUGGAAUAAUAGAUCUCAAAUAAAAUAAAGUGCAGCAAGGUAUUUUUGUAUUUUUGGUUUAAUAUAUCUGAAUAAAAAUGCAAAGUAAAAGUAGAUCGCAAGCAAAUAUAUGAGGAAGAAGACUUGGGGGCCGUAGGUUUCACUAGUGGCUUCUCUCGAGAAAAGAUAGCAAACGGUGGGUAAACAAAUUACUGUUGGGCAAUUGAUAGAACCUCAAAUAAUUAUGAAGAUAUCCAGGCAAUGAUCAUUACAUAGGCAUCACGUCAAAGAUUAGUAGACCGACUCCUGCCUGCAUCUACUACUAUUACUCCACACAUCGACCGCUAUCCAGCAUGCAUCUAGUGUAUUAAGUUCAUGGAAAAACUGAGUAAUGCAAUAAGAACGAUGACAUGAUGUAGACAAGAUCCGUUUAUCUAUUGCAUAGAUAUAGAUCCCAUCUUUUUAUCUUUAGUAGCAACGAUACAUACAUAUCAGUUCCCUUUCUGUCACUGGGAUCAAGCACCGUAAGAUCGAACCCACUACCGGGCACCUCUUGCCAUUGCAAGACAAAUAGAUCAAGUUGGCCAAACAAAACCCAAAUAUCGGAGAAGAAAUAAGAGGCUAUAAGAGGUCAUGCAUAUAAGAUAUCAAAGAAACUCAAAUAACUUUCAUGGAUAUAAAAAAGAUAUGACUGAUCAUAAACUCAAAGUUCAUCAAAUCCCAACAAACACACCGCAAAAAUAGUUACAUCAUAUGAAUCUCCAAGAGACCAUUGUAUUGAGAAUCAAGAGAGAGAGAUGAAGCCAUAUAGCUACUAACUACGGACCUGAAGGUCUACAAAGAACUACUCAUGCAUCAUCGGAGAGGCACCAAUGGAGGUGGUGAACCCCAUCCGAGAUGGUGUCUAGAUUGGAUCUGGUGGUUCUGGACUCUCCGGCGGCUAUAUGAAUAUUUCGUUGACUUCCCUAGGGUUUUGGAAAUAUUUGGGUAUUUAUAUAGCAAAGAGGCGGUCCGGGGGGCACCCGAGGUGCGCACAACCCACCAGGACGCGCAUGGGCCUCCUGGCGCGCCCUGGUGGGUUGUCCCCUCCUUGGGACUCCCCCCAGGUGCAACCAGGGCCCAACAUGUUCCUUCUGGUCCAUAAAAAAUCUCCAUAAAGUUUCGUGGCAUUUGGACUCCGUCUGAUAUUGAUUUUCUGCGAUGUAAAAAAUACGGAAAAAACAUGAACUGGCACUUGGCACUAUGUCAAUAGGUUAGUACCAAAAAUGAUAUAAAAUGACUAUAAAAUUAUCAUAAAACAUCCAAGAUUGAUAAUAUAAUAGCAUGGAACAAUCAAAAAUUAUAGAUACCUUGGAGAUGUAUCAGGAUCCCCAAGCUUAACUCCUACUCGUCCUUGAGUAGGUAAGUGAUAAAAACAGAAUUUUCGAUGUGGAGUGAUGUUUAGCAUGUCAUAUCAUAUUAUUUUCUUUAUAGCAUGGAGAAUUGGACUUUUAUGUGAUUCAAAGCAAUAGUCUAGUGUUGACAUAAUAAUUUAGAUACUCAAGCAUAUCAACAAGCAACCAUGUCUUUCAAAAUAUCAAUGCUAAAAUAAGUUAUCCUUACAAAAUCAUAUAGUCUUGUCAUGCUCUGUCUUCUUAACACAAAGUAUUUAUCAUGCACAAUCCCGAUGACAAGCCGAGCAAUUGGUUCAUACUUUUUAACGUGCUUCAGCUUUUUCAACUCUUACGCAAUAGAUGAGCGCAAGCCAUGGAUAUAGCACUACGGGUGGAAUAGAGUAUGAUGAUAGGGGUAAAUAUAGAGAUGACAAAAAAGUAAGAAAGUCUCACAUUGAUGCGGCUAACCAACGGGCUAUGGAGAUGCCCAUCAAUCGAUAUCAACGUGAGGAGUAGGGAUUUCCAUGCAAUGAAUUCACUAAGAGCUAUAAGUGUAUGAACGCUCAAUAUGAAAACUAAGUGGGUGUGCAUCUAGUCCUAUAAUGAAAAAUUCCCACUAGUAUAUGAAAGUGACAACAUAGGAGACUCUCCAUAUGAAAAACAUGAUGCUACUUUGAAGCACAAGUGUGGUAAAGGAUACUAGCAAUGCCCCUUCUCUCUUUGUUUAUUAUUAUAUAUAUAUAUUUAUUAUUUUUCUUUCUCUUUUUUUCCUUUUUUUUCUUUCUUUCCUUUUUUUCUUUUUUUUUCUUUUCUUUUUCUCUCAUUGUCCGGAGUCUCAUCUCGACUUGUGGGGGAAUCAUAGUCUCCAUCAUCCUUUCCUCACUGGGGCACUGCUCUAAAAAUGAAUAAUGAUGAUCAUCACACUUCUAUUUACUUAUAACUCAAAAGAAAUAAAAAUUACAACUCGAUACCUACGACAAAAUAUGACUCUGUAUAAAUGCCUCUGGCAUGUACCAGGAUGUGCAAUGAUCUAGUGUAACAUGUAUGAAAAAUGAUGAACAGUGGCUGAGCCACAAACACUAUGUCAGCUAUAUGAUCAUGCAAAGCAAUAUGACAGUGAAUGCUUAAGUCAUAAAAUGGAAGCGGUGGAAGUUGCAUGGCAAUAUAUCUCGGAAUGGCCAUGGAAAAGCCAUAAUAGGUAGGAAUGGUGGCUGUUCUGAGGAAGAUAUAAUGAGGAUUAUGUGUGAUAGAGCGUAUCAUAUCACGGGGUUUGGAUGCACCUGCGAAGUUUGCACCACGUCUCAAUGUGAGAAAGGGAAAUGCACGGUACCGUAGAGUCUAGCAAAUUGUGAAAAGGUAAGAGUGUGUCUAAUCCAUGGACUCACAUUAGUCAUAAAGAACUCAUAUACUUAUUGCAAAAGUUUAUUAGCCCUCUAAGCAAAGUACUACUACGCAUGCCCCUAGGGGGAUAGAUUGGUAGGAAAAUACCAUCGCUCGUCCCCGACCGCCACUCAUAAGGAAGACAAUCAAAAAUAAAUCAUGCUCCAACAUCAUAGCAUAACGAGAGACUAUACGUGCAUGCUUCGGGAAUCACAAACUUUAACACCAAUAUUCCUACUAGAGCAUAAUUACUCAUCAAGAUAGCUCACAUAUCACAUCAUCAUAUCUCAAAACUAUUACUAAGAAUCAAGUUUGUUUUGUCCAAUAAUCUUCAUGACAUUUUUCUUUACUUUAUCCUUCUUGGAUAUCUAUCACUUUGGCAGUAAUUUUUUUAUGUUGCUUUUCAUAAGAUCAAAUAAAUACAGGUGAAGAUCAUGAGCAUAAUAUUUCUUUCUCUCAAAAUAACUUAAGUGAAGCAAGAGAGAAUUUCUUCAAAAUUUUACUAACUCAAAUAAAUCUAAGUGAAGCAAGAGAGCAUUUCUUCAAAAAUACUAAGCACAAUGUGCUCAAAAAGAUAUAACUGAAGCACUAGAGCAAGUCCUAGCUCAUAAAAGAUUUAAGUGAAGCAUAGAGAGCAAUUCUAACAAGUUAUGAAAUAAUUUUGGCUCUCUCAAAUAGGUGUUUCUAGAAAGGAUUGAUGACCUAAAACACAAAAUAAAACAAGCAAAGACACAUAUCAUACAAGACGCUCCAAGCAAAACACAUAUCAUGUGAUGAAUAAAAAUAUAGUCUCGAGUAAAAUAAUGAUAGUUAUUGGAAGAAAGCGGGGAUGCCACUCGGGGGCAUCCCCAAGCUUAGUUGGUUGCUCAUUUUUGGAUAGUAGCUUGGGAUUCUGGGGCAUCCCCAAGCUUAGGCUCUUCCAUCCUUCCUUCAUCCAUCGUAAGAUAACCAAAAACUUGAAAACUUUAAUCACACAAAACUCAACAAAACCUUCAUGAGAUCCGUUAGUAUAAGAAUAAUAAACCCCUACUAUAAGUAUUGUAUCAAACCAAUUCAUAUUUUUUUCAUUAUAUCUACUGUAUUCCAACUUUUUAUGGUAAAAACUCAUCAAAGAAAACCAUAGAGCCAUCAAAAUAAGCAAACAACACAAAGAAAAAAGAAUCUGUCAAAACAGAACAGUUUGUAGCAAUCCGACUAUUUCGAACACUUCUAUAACUCCAAAAAUUCUGAAAAAUUAGGAAGGCCUGAGAAAUUUGUAUAUUGAUCUACUGCAAGUGGAAUGGGUAUUUUAUCGCUCUCUGGUAAAAAAUGAAAAUUAAUUUCGUGAGCAUAAAAGUUUUUGUUUUUUCAGCAAGAUCAAACAGCUAUUACCCAAGAAGAUCCUAAAGGCUUUACUUGGCAGAAACACUAUUUAAAACACAAAAAACACAAUCAUAACAGUAGCAUAAUUGUGCUAACACUCAAGAACAGAAAGCAAAAAGCAAAAAUAAAAUUUAUUCAUUGGGUUGCCUCCCAACAAGCACUAUAGUUUCACGCCCUUAGCUAGGCAUAAAAUCUUAUUGAUGCCCACAUGGAAGAUAAUAAUUGAAACACAAAGAGAGCAUCAUGAAACAUAUGACAAACACAUUUAAGUUUAACAUACUUCCUAUGCAUAGGAAUUUUAUAAGCAAACAAAUCAUCAAGACAAGAAACAUCUAACAUAUGCAAAGAAGACGAAUAAAAUAUUGACGAUCUCAACAUAACGAGAGGUAAUUUUGUAACAUGAAAAUUUCUAUAGCCAUAUUUUCCCCUCUCAUAAUAAUUAUAUGUAGGAUCAUAAUCAAAUUCAACAAUAUAAAUAUCACAUAAAAUAUUCUCUUCAUGAUCCACAUGCAAGCAAAGUUGACACUCUUCCAAAAUAGUGGGAUUAUCAUCAAAUAAAGUCAUGGCCACUCCAAGACCACUUUUAUCAAAAAUUUCAUAAGAUUCAACACUCUCCAAAUAUGUAGGAUUAUUUUUAGCUAAAGUUGACACUCUUCCAAACCCACUUUCAAUAUUAUUGCAAAAGUAUUCAUCAUGAGGCUUAAAUAAUUUUUCAAGAUCAUAAGAAGAAUCACCCCAAUCAUGAUCAUUGCAAAAAGUAGUAGACAUAGCAAAAUUAGCAUCCCAAGCUUGGGGUUUUGCAUAUUAUUAGCACAAUUGACAUCAAGAAUUUAUAGUAAAAUCAUUGCAAUCGUGCUUUUCAUUCAAGGAGCUAUCAUGAAUCACUUCAUAAAUUUCUUCAUCACAAUUUUCAGAUUAACGAGUCUCAAGCAAAACUUCAUAAAGAUAAUCUAGUGCACUCAACUCACUAGCAAUUGGUUCAACAUGAUUGGAUCUUUUAAAAAGAUUAGAAAGUGGAUGGGGAUCCAUAUCAAUAGAUUUUUAGCAAGCGAAGAUGCAAGCAUAUAGAAGGCACAUGGCAACACAAGCAAACAAAAGAUCUGACGAGAAAAAGGUAAACGAAAAAGGGGGCGAAUAAAACGGCAAAUUUUUGUGAAGUGGGGGAGAGGAAAACAAGUGACAAAUGGAAAAUAAUGUAAAUUGUGAGGAGAAGAGAUUUAUGAUUAGGAACUAGGUAUAUGUUGAAGAUUCUCCCCGGCAACGGCGCCAGAAAUUCCUUUUGAUUGCUCUUUGACUAUAGUGCCAGAAAAGCUCCUAUCUACUAGGACUACGUCGGUAUUUCCCCAAACAGGAAGAUGCAGCACAGUGACAGUAGGUAUUUCCCUCAAUGAAGAAACCAAGGUUAUUGAACCAGUAGGAGAACCAAGCAACACAACAUAAACAGCACAUGCACACAACUAACAACACCUCGCAAGCCGACGUGUUAAAGGAGUUGUCAAUCCCUUACGGGUAACGACGCCAGAAAAUUGUAGUAGAUUGGAAUAAUAGAUCUCAAAUAAAAUAAAGUGCAGCAAGGUAUUUUUGUAUUUUUGGUUUAAUAGAUCUGAAUAAAAAAUACAAAGGAAAAGUAGAUCGCAAGCAAAUAUAUGAGGAAGAAGACCCGGGGGGCGUAUGUUUCACUAGUGGCUUCUCUCGAGAAAAGAUAGUGAACGGUGGGUAAAAAAAUUACUAUUGGUAAAUUGAUAGAACCUCAAAUGAUUAUGAUGACAUCCAGGCAAUGAUCAUUACAUAGGCAUCACGUCCAAAAUUAGUAGACUGACUCCUGCCUACAUCUACUACUAUUACUCCACACAUCGACCGCUAUCCAGCAUGCAUCUAGUGUAUUAAGUUCAUGGAAAAACAGAGUAAUGCAAUAAGAACAAUGACAUGUUGUAGACAAGAUCCAUUUAUCUAUUGCGUAGAUAUAGAUCACAUCUUUUUAUCUUUAGUAGCAAUGAUACAUACGUGUCAGUUCCCUUUCUGUCACUGGGAUCAAGCACCGUAAGAUCGAACCCACUACCGGGCACCUCUUCCCAUUGUAAGAUUAAUAGAUCAAGUUGGCCAAAGAAAACCCAAAUAUCGGAUAAGAAAUACAAGGAUAUAAGAGAUCAUGCAUAUAAGAGAUCAAAGAAACUCAAAUAACUUUCAUGGAUAUAAAAAGAUAUGACUGAUCAUAAACUCAAAGUUCAUCAGAUCCCAACAAACACACCGCAAAAAGAGUUACAUCAUAUGGAUCUCCAAGAGACCAUUGUAUUGAGAAUCAAGAGAGAGAGAUGAAGCCAUCUAGCUACUAACUACGGACCCGAAGGUCUACAAAGAACUACUCACGCAUCAUCGGAGAGGCACCAAUGGAGGUGGUGAACCCCAUCCGAGAUGGUGUCUAGAUUGGAUCUAGUGGUUCUAGACUCUGCGGCAGUUGGAUGAAUAUUUCCUCGACUCCCCUAGGGUUUUGGGAAUAUUUGGGUAUUUAUAGAGCAAAGAGGCGGUCUUGGGAGCACCUGAGGUGGGCACAACCCACCAGGGCGCGCCUGGGCCUCCUGGCACGCCCUGGUGGGUUGUCCCCUCCUUGGGACUCCCCCAAGUGCAACCAGGGCCCAACAUGUUCCUUCUGGUCCAUCAAAAAUCUCCGUAAAGUUUCGUGGCAUUUGGACUCCGUCUGAUAUUGAUUUUCUGCGAUGUAAAAAUCACGGAAAAAACAGGAACUGGCACUUGGCACUAUGUCAAUAGGUUAGUACCAAAAAAUGAUAUAAGAUGACUACAAAAUGAUUAUAAAACAUCCAAGAUUGAUAAUAUAACAGCUUGGAACUAUCAAAAAUUAUAGAUACGUUGGAGGCAUAUCAUGCGCGCACACACACACACAUCUUCCCUCUCUUCGAUUCUAUGGAUAUCUCAAGCCGAUGAUACGUCCGCUCUCUUCUCGUGGAUCACCCCCUCUACAUAUAUGAUAUAUCCAGGACUCUAUUUCACACACAUUGCAUAUGUUACAUUUUUUGAUUGAAAUAUCAUCCAUAUAUAUUGCUUGUCUAUUUCUCAACCCCUCCCAAAAAAGCACUCAUGAACCAUCACACUAUAUCUCUCUAUGUUUGUAUCUCUCUCACACAACCCCACAUAGGUGGUGUACAUACACGAAGAGAAUAGGUGCAGGUACUCAUGCUUUGUGCCCAGCCACACCCGCGCGGGUACACAGCGGAGCUCAUUUCUGUAUGAAAUGGCAGCCCACGUGCUAAUUUGAACAUGUGUAGCGGUUGUUUACCUACGGAGGUCGUGUACCACGUGUGCACGAAACAAAGUUCGACUUGAUGCUUUGGUGCGUUAUUUUUAAAUAAAUUUAUAUUGCUCAAUGGCACGUACACGGAAUAUAAAACGAUUUUUAUGGAGAAAAAGGUAGUCUGCUCCACUAUAUACAAUGGAGUCUGCCUGCCUGGGUUUGUCUCUCUUCAAAGUAUCUCACACAAAGCGGCGGUGUCCUCUCUCUCUCACCGUUGGUCACUGAUCCGGCCGCAUCCCAUCCGCCGGUGGAAAGGGAGGAUGUGCAUCGUUUCUCUGUUCGACGGCACCGAGGCAGCACGUCCCGAUCUGCGGUACCCGCUGUUCUCUCUGACCAAGCUUCGGCGCGGUAGGGCCUACGCCACCUGCUCGCUGCCGCAGUAUGGGCAGAUCCCACCCGCCGCCGCUCACCUAGUUACAUCCCGACGACCCCCAGGUAACCCCUCCGGCCUUGCUCCACUGCCCGUCUUCCCACGUCACUGCAUGUGGAUCUUCCAUAGUUCUUUGCCCAAAACGUAGCUCGUCUAGCGUACUUUCCAUAUUGCAAUCUCAUCCUCACACCGUUUUAGACAAACACAACCGUGUUGUUUUCUUCCCUUAGGACAUGGAAUAUGCUUCUUUUUUGUCGCCGUAUGUGUCAUCAACUGUUAUUGGCCAGUAAUUGUUUCCUUUCUACCUCUUUUUCACAAACAGGGCUAUCCAUUUCACCUCGUUGCUAUUGCGACCUUUUGGUGAACUGCACAAAUCACUUUUUUCUUAAGAGUAUUUUGUGUAGUUGUACUAAAAUGUCACACGGGCAACGUCUCUACAUUUCAGUGCGAAUGCACAAAGGGAGAUUGGUUUUGCUCUAUCCUCCUCAUCCAACUCCGAGCCUAAUCUUCUCCAACUAUUUGCUUAAUCUUCUCCAACUAGUUAGUCUUAAGAGAGACUGCAAAGGUGACCGGCUUCUAUUUGUGUGUUUAUUGUUUCAUCAGUAGUCCUCUAUUAUUGUAAUCACACUUAAUAUCUUUGGAACAGGGACGCUCAGCUCUAUUUUAGUGGAACUGCACAAAAUGAUCAGAAUGUUGCAUGCUCCAAACAGCUACUUUUUUCCCAACAUGCCUUGUUGAUUUAGACAGAGCUGGGGGGACAUUGCUGCCAAUGAAAGCAUCAAUUUUAAUUUAACACCUUCUCUCAACUUUGUCUUCAGUUGUGAUGUAAAUAUUAGCUCUGAUCUGCUAAUCAUUGAGAUGCAUUAGCAAGGAAGUUAGUUUUUUAUUGUUUCCGAAAGAGCAUGGACGACAAGACACACGAAACAAAAGUUGAAAGCUCAGAGCAUUGUACAAUUUCAUGUCGCUGGAAAAUUAUUUGCAUAGUAUGUCAAUUAUGUAAACAAAUGUUCGAAGCUUGAUAGCAUUGCCAAAAGCCUCUUCAGCAUCCGGGUCCAUGUGCCAUGCACAAAAUUAUACUUCCUCCGUUCCUAAAUAUUUUAGAGUGUAGAAACUUCAAAUGGACAUAUUUUAGAGGGUAGAUUCACUCAUUUUGCUUUGUAUGUAGUCACUCAUUGAAAUCUCUAGAAAUACAAAUACUCUAGAGUAUAUUUAAGAACGAAGGGAGUAGUGCACAACCGCAUGGGAGACUCAGCCCGGUCGUUGCGCCGCACUAAUAGUGAGCAAUGAGCAGUCAAAUCAUAAGCCCCACCUUUCCCACUGUAAGUUGCUCGGAAGAAGCAACCAUCAAUAUGCUCUUCUUUGAAUCCGCUCAUACUACUCCAUCUGUCACUAUUUAUAGAGCACGCUUAAAAAACAAUCUCUGGGACCAAGGCGACUAGCGAUUGGCCUGAAAAAUAGCAUUGGCAGUUAUAGCAGGGCGUCUAUUACUAGAGGAAAUAAUGUGUAUACACAUGCAUGCAGUGCUUCCACCCCGGUUACACACAUGCAUGCACUUACUCCACUCUGUAGUACAUCAAGAGAAAAUUGUGGACUUGAUUACGGUUGCCACGCCCUAAUUAAUUGAGCAUUAAACCAAACACGUCUAAAGUCUCUCUGGUGGUGGAAAUGCAUGGAGAGAAAUGCAUCAGAAUGAAGCACACCCUGUAAACUAUGACGGAGGGAGGAGUAGUAUGAAGGUGCAAAACCAAGUACGCGUAUGGCCAGUCGGUCAACACACUUCCUCUUGGCAUAUCAGUGACAUGUGGGCCGGAGUGUGAGCAAACCGAUCUCAAUUGACGGCAAAAUGGCCAACCCGCCGUUCCUUGAGAGAGACGAGAAGUGAGAACACACAGACGGGCAUGCACGGAGGCCAAGAUAUAUUCAAGCAUGGUUGAUCGAUAUCAUCAUUACAUGUUCAAUGUUUUGUAAUACUACUAUUGGGCUGCCGUUUUCUGCCCUUCUUCUGAAUAAAUGUGUACUUUAUCAGAGAUUAAAAUAAAUAAGAGUACAGAUGCUCCACCAUGCGGUUCUAGUAGUAGUACUACUCGUACUACUAAACCUUGCGCUUGGCUCUUCGCCUCUUCAUGAAGUCGAAAAAUGAAGGUACUCCGCAUGUUGGGUACUAUAGUGUAUGCCUCUGGUAACCUGACACCGAAUGAACUGCUGCAUGUCCAUCAUCUGGGCGAGGGUAGGUUGCAUUAGUAAAAAGGCGUAAGCGAGAUUCACCUUGUCCUGCAAGCUUCUCCUUGUUCUACGAGUUGACGGGACACACCAAAAAGUAGUGCUAGUCCAUACUCCCUCCUUUCCGGUUAAUAUGGAUUAAUCUUUUUUGUGGGUAAAUGAGAGAGCUUUAUUCAUAUAUAAGCAUUCUUAGGACGAUCAUCCAAGAGACUGGUCACUAGGAAGCAAGGUACCCCGCAAAAAAAGAAGAAGGAAGCAAGGUGUUUCAUCAAGCCAGCUCUCGGCCACAUUCAAAGUGCAGCAAGUACGGUUCACACAAAGAUGCGCCGCAAGGUUUGCUGACCUGUUUACAUGCUAAAUAACAAAAAAAGAAAAUAUUACCAAGUGCUCCUAUUUGUAACAGGAUAUGAGCCAGAAUUAAGCGAGAAUUGUGGCGAGUGUUCCAUGCAAUCAACUUCCAUUAUCACAUGUGAGAACCCUCGAAGAGAACCAAAUGUGUUGAAGAUUGCUUUAUCACAUUUUGAAAUAAAAUAAGAGUGCAGACGCUCCUCCAUCCGGUUCCUAGUAGUAGUACAUACCUCUAUAGUAGUAGUACUAGUACUAGUAAACUUUGCGCUUGGUUGUUCGCCUCUUUGGGAAGUCGAACAAUAAUACUACUAGUAUAGUGUAUGGUUCUGGCUACCUGACACCGAAUUAACUAUUGCACGUCCACCGCCUAAGCGAGGGAGAGCUUGCAUUAUUCAAAAGUUUCUCCUUCUCAUGUGAGCCACCGCACGCAAGCUUCUCCCGUCCUGCAAGCUUCUCCUCGUUCGGCAAGUUGACAAGGCACAACAAAGUAAUGCUAGUCCAUACUGCCUCCUUUUCGGUUAAUAUGGCUUAAUUUCAAACAAGAUAAAUACAUUGUUUGUCACCGUAUAUUUUUAAAAAUACAGUCAGUGGACUUCAUAAUACGCUCAUUGCGCUCAAUAUAUACAUUUUCUGGUGUUUAUAGGUCACUAGCUCACCCUGGCUGAGUAUGUGUGUGCAUACACGUGUAGGUUGAGCACUUGAGCGUGACCGUGUGUGUUCCAUCAUGUGCUCGGACAUGCAUGCAUUACAGCAUCGCGCGUGUUUUUGCGACCAUGUGUAUGUGUGACUAUUGCAUGCAUGCAUGAGGUUGUAGUCCCUCACAUUCACAUGUUCAUAAGUCAAUGCUUUGUCAAAAUGUUGCAUGCAAGGUUUAAUGAUUCAUUGUUCACGCAUGCAUUCCUGAUAUUAAUACAUUGGUAAAGACAAUUUCUUGAGGACCAAUAAGCCAGGACGGAGGGAGUACCAGUAGUGAACCGAAAGGAGGGAGUAGGUACUAGUAGUACUACGUAACAAGGUGCAGUAACAAAAUUCCACUAUGUGCAUCCUGUCUACGUGUCAUGCAAGAAAAUAGAGAUAAGUACAAGUGAGACUCAGGAAUGGUCAUACACGUAGGUGGAGUACGUGUAGGGGCCACUAAGGAGGAGUCAAAUCACACAGUAAGUUAGUCGGAAGUAGCAACCAUCAUUUCACUCUUCAAUGACACUUACGCAAUAUAAAAUGGUUGAUAUGGAGAGAAAAAGAAAAUCACUAUAUAUACACUAGCAGGAGCCUAAGCUACAAGCCUGCUUGCUUGGGUUGCUCUCUUCACAAGCAUAGAACGACGGUGGCCACACCGUUGGUCACAGAUCCGGCCUAAUCCCGCCGCUGGGAGAAGGGAACGAUGUUCUUCGUAGACGCGGUCGACAUCGACGAGGGAGAAAACCCACAGUCUGUGCGUCCCAAUCAGGGGUCCCCAUGGUAUGGGUUGAUGCCGCGUCCCAACCACCCUUCUAGAUACAGCCCGACGUCCCAGGUACAUCUUCCUUUUGGAGCCGGCUUGCUCCACUGCCACAGCUCCCCACGUAGCUCCAUCUCCAUGUCGAUCUAUCUCUACUUCCACCAGCUUCUAUUUGUGAUGAGUUUAUGUCUCAUGAACUAGUGCCAGUACUAUUAUUCUAAUCACACUUCUUCAAUAUCUUUGCCAUCAGGGAUGCUCAGCUCGAUUUUAGUGGAACUGUACAAAAGCAUCGUAUGAUCCAAGGGUGCCAGUCAUCUUUCGUUCGACAGGUUCUACCUAGCCAGGGAAUUAAAUCAUGUUUAGGGUUUAGGGUUUAAGUCGUAGUGACCCCAUCAGUAGUUUUCCUUUUGUACACGCUCUCACAACUUUUGUCUUUAGUUGUGAAGUAAAUAUUGGCUAUGAUCUAUGAAUCAUUGAGAUGCAUCAGCAUGCAUGUUAGUUUUCCUUUGUAUUUGAUGGAAUGUUGUAACGGGGCAACCUUGGAGUAGGAAUGAGAAUGGAGUGGAAAGUUUCCGUUUUUCUUGGAGAAAAAAUGGAAACGGAGAGAUAUCAAUGUUUCGUUUUGUUGGAUCACGCCAUCGAGCAAAACCAAUGUUUAAAUCACGCCUAUGGCGUUCGUGUCUCACCCUCCUCCACGGCUCCACCCCACACAGUCGCUCGGCAUGCCACUCACCGCAAACCGAGUAUACGAUAACUUUCCCGUCUGCUUGUCGAUGGAUCGCGCCUUGGAGUACUAGCACUACUGGAAGAGAUUGACGAGUUGGGGGAGGACAGCUAGUUGUAGCAUGGACUCCCAAGAACUUUUUACAUGCAUGUUGUGGUUGGCUAUUGCGACCUUUGAACGCGGAGCAGUCGCUGAUAUGUCUCCAAUGUAUCUAUAAUUUUUUUAUUGUUCCAUGCUGUUAUAUUAUCAAUCUUGGAUGUUUUAUAAUCAUUUUAUAGUCAUUUUAUAUCAUUUUUUGGUACUAACCUACUGACAUAGUGGCAAGUGCCAGUUGCUGUUUUUUCCAUGUUUUUUACAUUGCAAAAAAACAAAAUAAACGGAGUCCAAAUGCCACGAAACUUUACGGAGAAUUUGUAUGGGCCAGAAGGAACACAAUGGGCCCUGGCUGUGCCUGGGGGGUGCCUCGAGGGAGGCACAACCCACCAGGGCGCGCCAGGAGGCCCAGGCACGCCCUGGUGGGUUGUGCCCACCUUGGGUGCCCCCCAGACCGUCUCUUUGCUCUAUAAAUACCCCAAUAUUUCCAGAACCUUAGGGGAGUCGACGAAAUAUUCAUCCAUCCGCCGCAGAGUCCAGAACCACCAGAUCCAAUCUAGACACCAUCUCGGAUGGGGUUCACCACCUCCAUUGGUGCCUCUCCGAUGAUGCGUGAGUAGUUCUUUGUAGACCUUCGGGUCCGUAGUUAGUAGCUAGAUGGCUUCAUCUCUCUCUCUUGAUUCUCAAUACAAUUUUCUCUUGGAGAUCCAUAUGAUGUAACUCUUUUUGCGGUGUGUUUGUUGGGAUCUGAUGAACUUUGAGUUUAUGAUCAGUCAUAUCUUUUUAUAUCCAUGAAAGUUAUUUGAGUUUCUUUGAUCUCUUAUAUGCAUGAUCUCUUAUAGCCUUGUAUUUAUUAUCCGAUAUUUGGGUUUUCUUUGGCCAACUUGAUCUAGUAAUCUUACAAUGGGAAGAGGUGCCCAGUAGUGGGUUCGAUCUUACGGUGCUUGAUCCCAGUGACAGAAAGGGAACCAACACGUAUGUAUCAUUGCUACUAAAGAUAAAAAGAUGUGAUCUAUAUCUACGCAAUAGAUAAAUGGAUCUUGUCUACAACAUGUCAUCGUUCUUAUUGCAUUACUCUGUUUUUCCAUGAACUUAAUACACUAGAUGCAUGCACUUGUUAGGGAUGGGUUCAUACUAAGUACCACUAAAAAAUAGCCAAUAAUAUGUCCUAGGUUUUUUUAACUAGGGUUCAUACUAAUUGUAAUUAACUAACUAGCACUAAAAAUAGCCUAGGGUUCAUACUAACUAGCACUAAAUAGCUAGGGUUCAUACUAACAGAGAGAGAGAGAGCAGAGCAGAAAGCAGAGAAGAGGAGAGGGGAGAGUGCUUACAGAGGGCGGAGAGAGAGAUGGGGUCGGGGGAGACGGUGGCACCGAGGCGCGGUAAGGAGGAGUCGGGGAAGACGGUGGCAAGGUGGGGUCGGGGGAGAUGGCGGCGAGGCAGGGUCGAGGGAGACGGCGGCGAGGCGGGGUCGAGGGAGACGGCGGCGGAGAGAGAGGGCAGGGGCUCCGGCAAGGUCGAGGUCGAGGGGGAGGAGCACGGCGCACAGCAACAUCAAGGGCAGACUCCAACGAAGAGCGAGGGCAGGAGCUCCGGCGAGGGUGAGGGCAGGGGCUACGGCGGAGGCGACGAGGGGAGAAGAGAGAGUGGGGAAUUGGGGAGAAAGCAGAGGAGGGAAGCCCGCGUGGGGGUUAUGUCAAAAUAGCUUUAGCAGUAGCGUGGGAAUAGAAAACGCGCUGCUGCUAAAAUCCGUAGCAGUAGCGCGCUCCUCACAAACUCGCUACUGCUAAGCUGGGCCCGUCCCGUGGACAAGUUCAAACUUAGCAGUAGCGCCCUACCCUAAAAGCGUGCUACUACUAAUUUGAUAGCAGUAGCACGGUUUGUCGAAGGGUGCUACUACUAUACCUAGCAUGUCGGCAACAGUGUGGGAAUUAUAGUAGUAAUGUGUUUUAUUCUUGUCGCGCUACUGCUAAGUGGAUAGCAGUAGAGCCCUUUCUGACCACGCGCUACUGCUAAGUAGUAGUAGCGCCUCAUUUUAACAUGCGCUACUGGUAAGAUUCUGGGUAUAAGGUUUUUCCUAGUAGUGACCCCCUUUAUAAGUAGAUGGAAGCACAUGGUGUUGUUGCGCCCACUCUCCCCUGGAACUGUUUAUGCUUUUUAUUAAUCUAAUGCCGCUAGUAAAAUUAAGCAAUGCCACUCUCAGAAUUAACUACUGAAUCUUAGUUCAAAACUGCAACACUUGUUAGGGAUUGGCGGGAUUUCCAUUUUUGUGGUCGUAUGUUUCAUCCUCCUUUAUUGGCCAGUAAUUGAUUCCUUUUUCGCCUCUGUUAAAACAGAGAUAUCUAUUCAACUUGUCGCUAUAGCAAACUUAAAUGUCACACCGGCAACUUUGCUUGAUUUCAGUGCAACUGCACAAAACGAGAUUGGAUUUCCUAUUCGUGUUGGCAGAUUUGUAUUUUAUCUUGUCUGUCUCAUGAAAGGUCAGUACAUGCCUUCAUCCACAUGAUUGUUCAGUGUUCUUUGAGAUGUUGUGCUACUUGUAAUGGUAUUGUUUUAAAUAAAUGUUGAAUUGAAGCUAUUGAAUUGCUCUCUUUUCCCAUUAAGUAGUGAACAAAAAUGGGACCAACCCAGACAUGAUGCUUGUUGCUUUGCUACAACAAACUCUGCAUUACCCCGUUUAUAAGUAGAUGGAAGCACAUGGUGUUGUUGCACCCACUCUCCCCUGGAACUGUUUAUGCUUUUUGUUAAUCUAAUGCCUGUUGGAAAUAUGCCCUAGAGGCAAUAAUAAAAUGGUUAUUAUUAUAUUUCUUUGUUCAUGAUAAUUGUCUAUUGUUCAUGCUAUAAUUGUGUUAUCCGGAAAUUGUAAUACAUGUGUGAAUACAUAGACCACAACACGUCCCUAGUGAGCCUCUAGUUGACUAGCUCGUUGAUCAAAAGAUAGUCAUGGUUUCCUGACUAUGGAAAUUGGAUGUCAUUGAUAACGGGAUCACAUCAUUAGGAGAAUGAUGUGAUGGACAAGACCCAAUCCUAAGCAUAGCUCAAAGAUCGUGUAGUUCGUUUGCUGUAGCUUUUCCAAAUGUCAAGCAUCAUUUCCUUAGACCAUGAGAUUGUGCAACUCCCGGAUACCGUAGGAGUGCUUUGGGUGUGCCAAACGUCACAAGUAACUGGGUGACUAUAAAGGUACACUACAGGUAUCUCCGAAAGUGUCUGUUGGGUUGGCACAAAUCGAGACUGGGGUUUGUCACUCCGUAUGACGGAGAGGUAUCUCUGGGCCCACUCGGUAAUGCAUCAUCAUAAUGAGCUCAAGGUGACCAAGUGGUUGAUCAUGGGAUCAUGCAUUACGGUAUGAGUAAAGUGACUUGCCGGUAACGAGAUUGAACGAGGUAUUGGGAUACCGAUGAUCGAGUCUCAGGCAAGUAACAUACCGAUUGACAAAGGGAAUUGUAUACGGAUUGAUUGAAUCCUCGACAUCGUGGUUCAUCCGAUGAGAUCAUCGAGGAGCAUGUGGGAGCCAACAUGGGUAUCCAGAUCCCGCUGUUGGUUAUUGACCGGAGAGUCGUCUCGCAUGUCUGCGUGUCUCCUGAACCCGUAGGGUCUACACACUUAAGGUUCGGUGACGCUAGGGUUGUUGAGAUAUUAGUAUACGGUAACCCGAAAGUUGUUCGGCGUCCCGGAUGAGAUCCCGGACAUCACGAGGAUUUCCGGAAUGGUCCGGAGGUGAAGAUUUAUAUAUAGGAAGUCAAGUUUCGGCCAUCGGGAAAGUUUCGAGGGUAAUCGGUAUUGUACCGGGACCACCGGAAGGGUCCCGGGGAUCCACCGGGUGGGGCCACGUAUCCCGGAGGGCCCCAUGGGCUAAAGUGGGAGGGGAACCAGCCCCUAGUUGGCUGGUGCGCCCCCCUUGGGCCUCCCCCUGCGCCUAGGGUUGGAAACCCUAGGGGUGGGGGCGCCCCACUUGGCUUGGGGGGCAAGCCACCCCCUUGGCCGCCGCCCCCCCUUGGAGAUUGGAUCUCCUAGGGCCGGCGCCCCCCUUAGGGACCCAAUAUAUAGUGGGGGGGGGAGGGAGGGCAGCCGCACCCUAGCCCCUGGCCUCUCCCUCUCCCUCCCGUGACACCUCCUUCUCGCAGUGCUCGGCGAAGCCCUGCCGAGAUCACCGUUGCUUCCACCACCACGCCGUCGUGCUGCUGGAUCUUCAUCAACCUCUCCUUCCCCCAUUCUGGAUCAAGUUGGAGGAGACGUCUUCCCAACUGUACAUGUGUUAAACGCGGAGGUGUCGUCCAUUCGGCGCUAGGUCAUCGGUGAUUUGGAUCACGACGAGUACGACUCCAUCAACCCCGUUCUCUUGAACGCUUCCGCGUGCGAUCUACAAGGGUAUGUAGAUGCACUCCCCUCUCCCUCAUUGCUAGAUGAAUCCAUAGAUUGAUCUUGGUGAUGCGUAGAAAAUUUUAAAAUUCUGCUUCGUUCCCCAACAGUGGCAUCAUGAGCUAGGUCUAUGUGUAGUUUCUAUGCACGAGUAGAACACAAAGCAGUUGUGGGCGUGGAUAUUGUCAAUUUGCUUGCCGUUACUAGUCUUAUCUUGAUUCGGCGGCAUCCUGGGAUGAAGCGGCCCAGACCGACCUUACACGUAUGCUUAUGUGAGACUGGUUCCACCGAUUGACAUGCACUAGUUGCAUAAGGUGGCUGGCGGGUGUCUGUCUCUCCCACUUUAGUCAAAUCGGAUUCGAUGAAAAGGGUCCUUAUGAAGGGUAAAUAUAAAUUGGCAUAUCACGUUGUGGUUUUGGCGUAGGUAAGAAAUGUUCUUGCUAGAAACCUAUAGCAGCCACGUAAAAACUUGCAACAACAAUUAGAGGACGUCUAACUUGUUUUUGCAGCAUGUGCCGUGUGAUGUGAUAUGGCCAAAAGGAUGUGAUGAAUGAUAUAUGUGAUGUAUGAGAUUGAUCAUGUUCUUGUAAUAGGAAUCAUGACUUGCAUGUCGAUGAGUAUGACAAUUGGCAGGAGCCAUAGGAGUUGUCUUUAUUUAUUUAUGACCUGCGUGUCAACAUAAACGUCAUGUAAUUACUUUACUUUAUUGCUAAAGCAUUAGCCAUAGUAGUAGAAGUAAUAGAUAACGAGACAACUUCAAGAAGACACGAUGAUGGAGAUCAUGAUGAUGGAGAUCAUGGUGUCAUGCCGGUGACAACGAUGAUCAUGAAGCCCCAAAGAUGGAGAUCAAAAGGAGCAAAUGAUAUUGGCCAUAUCAUGUCACUAUUUGAUUGCAUGUGAUGUUUAUCAUGUUUUACAUCUUAUUUGCUUAGAACGACGGUAGCUUAAAUAAGAUGAUCCCUCGUAAUAAUUUCAAGAAAGUGUUCCCCCUAACUGUGCACCGUUGCGAAGGUCCGUUGUUUCGAAGCACCACGUGAUGAUCAGGUGUGAUAGAUUCUAACGUUCGAAUACAACAGGUGUAAGCCAGAUUUACACACGCAAUACACUUAGGUUGACUUGACGAGCCUAGCAUGUACAGACAUGGCCUCGGAACACAGAAGACCGAAAGGUCGAGCAUGAGUCGUAUAGAAGAUACGGUCAACAUGAAGAUGUUCACCGAUGUUGACUAGUCCGUCUCACGUGAUGAUAGGACACGGCCUAGUUGACUCGGAUCAUGUUUCACUUAGAUGACUAGAGGGAUGUCUAUCCGAGUGGGAGUUCAUUGAGUAAUUUGAUUAGAUGAACUUAAUUAUCAUGAACUUAGUCUAAAAUCUUUACACUAUGUCUUGUAGAUCAAAUGGCCCAUGCUAAUGUUGCCCUCAACUUCAACGCGUUCCUAGAGAAAACCAAGCUGAAAGAUGAUGGCAGCAACUAUACGGACUCGGUCCGGAACCUGAGGAUCAUCCUCAUAGCUGCCAAGAAAGAUUAUGUCCUAGAAGCACCGCUAGGUGAUGCACCCAUCCUAGAGAACCAAGACGUUAUGAACGCUUGGCAGUCACGUGAUGAUGAUUACUCCCUCGUUCAGUGCGGCAUGCUUUACAGCUUAGAAUCGGGGCUCCAAAAGCGUUUUGAGAGACACGAAGCAUAUGAGAUGUUCGAAGAGAUGAAAAUGGUUUUCCAAGCUCAUGCCCGGGUCGAGAGAUAUGAAGUCUUCGACAAGUUCUUCAGCUGUAAGAUGGAGGAAAAUAGUUCUGUCAGUGAGCACAUACUCAAAAUGUCUAGGUUGCAUAACCGCUUGACUCAGCUUGGAGUUAAUCUCCUGGAUGACGCAGUCAUUGACAGAAUCCUUCAGUCGCUUCCACCGAGCUACAAGAGCUUUGUGAUGAACUUCAAUAUGCAGGGGAUGGAAAAGACCAUUCCUGAGGUAUAUUCAAUGCUGAAAUCAGCAGAGGUGGAAAUCAAAAAGGAACAUCAAGUGUUGAUGGUGAAUAAAACCACUAAGUUCAAGAAAUGCAAGGGUAAGAAGAACUUCAAGAAGGAUGUCAAGGGAGUUGUCGCGCCCGGUAAGCAAGAUGCCGGGAAGAAGCCAAAGAAUGGACCCAAGCCCGAGACUGAGUGUUUUUAUUGCAAGGGAAGUGGUCACUGGAAGCGGAACUGCCCCAAAUACUUAGCGGACAAGAAGGCCGGCAACACUAAAGGUAUAUGUGAUAUACAUGUAAUUGAUGUGUACCUUACCAGUACUCGUAAUAGCUCCUGGGUAUUUGAUACCGGUGCGGUUGCUCACAUUUGUAACUCAAAGCAGGAGCUGCGGAAUAAGCGGAGACUGGCGAAGGACGAGGUGACGAUGCGCGUCGGGAAUGGUUCCAAGGUUGAUGUGAUCGCCGUCGGCACGCUACCUCUACAUUUACCUACGGGAUUAGUGUUAAACCUCAAUAAUUGUUAUUUAGUGCCAGCUUUGAGCAUGAACAUUGUAUCAGGAUCUCGUUUAAUUCGAGAUGGCUACUCAUUUAAAUCCGAGAAUAAUGGUUGUUCUAUUUAUAUGAGAGAUGUGUUUUAUGGUCAUGCUCCGCUGGUGAAUGGUUUAUUCUUAAUGAAUCUCGAGCGUAAUGUUACACAUAUUCGUAGUGUGAAUACCAAAAGAUGUAAGGUUGAUAAUGAUAGUCCCACAUACUUGUGGCACUGCCGUUUUGGUCACAUAGGUGUCAAACGCAUGAAGAAUCUCCAUGCAGAUGGACUUUUGGAGUCUCUUGAUUACGAAUCAUUUGACACGUGCGAACCAUGCCUCAUGGGUAAAAUGACCAAGACUCCGUUCUCAGGAACGAUGGAGCGAGCAACCAACUUAUUGGAAAUCAUACAUACUAAUGUGUGCGGCCCAAUGAGUGUUGAGGCUCGCGGUGGCUAUCGUUAUGUUCUCACCCUCACUGAUGACUUGAGUAGAUAUGGGUAUGUCUACUUAAUGGAACACAAGUCUGAGACCUUUGAAAAGUUCAAGGAAUUUCAGAGUGAGGUUGAGAAUCAACGUGACAAGAAAAUCAAGUUCUUGCGAUCAGAUCGUGGGGGAGAAUACUUGAUCACGAAUUUGGCACACACAUAAGAAAAUGUGGAAUAGUUUCACAACUCACACCGCCUGGAACACCUCAGCGUAAUGGUGUGUCCGAACGUCGUAAUCGCACUCUAUUGGAUAUGGUGCGAUCUAUGAUGUCUAUUAUCGAUCUACCGCUGUCAUUUUGGGGCUAUGCUUUAGAGACUGCCGCAUUCACUUUAAAUAGGGCUCCGUCGAAAUCAGUUGAGACGAAACCGUAUGAAUUAUGGUUUGGGAAGAAACCUAAGCUGUCGUUUCUAAAAGUUUGGGGAUGUGAUGCUUAUGUCAAGAAACUUCAACCUGAAAAGCUCGAACCCAAAUCAGAAAAAUGCAUCUUCAUAGGAUACCCUAAAGAGACUAUUGGGUAUACCUUCUACCUCAGAUCCGAAGGCAAGAUCUUUGUUGCCAAGAAUGGGUCCUUUCUAGAGAAAGAGUUUCUCUCGAAAGAAAUAAGUGGGAGGAAAGUAGAACUUGAUGAAGUAUUACCUCUUGAACCGGUAAGUGGUGCAGCUCAAGAAAAUGUUCCUGAGGUUCCUGCACCGACUAGAGUGGAAGUUAAUGAUGAUGAUCAUGAAACUUCAGAUCAAGUUGCUACUGAACUUCGUAGGUCCACAAGGACACGUUCCGCACCAGAGUGGUACGACAACCAUGUCUUGGAAAUCAUGUUGUUAGACAACGGUGAACCUUCGAACUAUGAAGAAGCGAUGGCGGGCCCGGAUUCCGACAAAUGGCUGGAAGCCAUGAAAUCCGAGAUAGGAUCCAUGUAUGAAAAUGAAGUAUGGACUUUGACUGACUUGCCCGAUGAUUGGCGAGCCAUAGAAAAUAAAUGGAUCUUUAAGAAGAAGACAGACGCGGAUGGUAAUGUAACCAUCUAUAAAGCUCGGCUUGGCGCUAAGGGUUAUCGACAAGUUCAAGGGGUUGAGUACAAUGAGACUUUUUUCACCCGUAGCAAAGCUGAAGUCCGUUUGAAUCAUGUUAGUAAUUGCCGCAUUCCAUGAUUAUGAGAUAUGGCAAAUGGACGUCAAAACGGCAUUCCUUAAUGGUUUCCUUAAGGAAGAAUUGUAUAUGAUGCAGCCGAAAGGUUUUGUCGAUCCUAAGAAUGCUGACAAGGUGUGCAAGCUCCAACGCUCGAUUUAUGGGCUGGUGCAAGCAUCUCGGAGUUGGAACAUUCGUUUUGAUGAGAUGAUCAAAGCGUUUGGGUUUACGCAGACUUAUGGAGAAGCCUGCAUUUACAAGAAAGUGAGUGGGAGCUCUGUAGCAUUUCUCAUAUUGUAUGUGGAUGACAUACUGUUGAUGGGAAAUGAUAUAGAAUUCUUGGAAAGCAUAAAGGCCUACUUGAACAAGUGUUUUUCAAUAAAGGAUCUUGGAGAAGCUGCUUAUAUAUUAGGCAUCAAGAUCUAUAGAGAUAGAUCGAGACACCUCAUUGGUCUUUCAUAGAGUACGUACCUUGACAAGAUAUUGAAGAAGUUCAAAAUGGAUCAGUCAAAGAAGGGGUUCUUGCUUGUAUUGCAAGGUACGAGAUUGAGCACGGCUCAAUGCCCGACCACAGCAGAAGAUAGAGAAAAGAUGAGUGUCGUCCCCUAUGCCUCGGCCAUAGGGUCUAUCAUGUAUGCUAUGCUGUGUACCAGACCUGAUGUAAACCUUGCCGUAAGUUUGGUAGGAAGGUACUAAAGUAAUCCCGGCAUGGAACACUGGACAGCGGUCAAGAAUAUCCUGAAGUACCUGAAGAGGACUAAGGAUAUGUUUCUCAUUUAUGGAGGUGACGAAGAGCUCGUCGUAAGGGUUAUGUCGAUGCUAGCUUCGACACAGAACUGGAUGACUCUAAGUCACAAACCGGAUACUUGUAUAUUUUGAAUGGUGGGGCAGUAAGCUGGUGCAGUUGCAAGCAAAGCAUUGUGGCGGGAUCUACAUGUGAAGCGGAGUACAUGGCAGCCUCGGAGGCAACACAAGAGGCAAUCUGGGUGAAGGAGUUCAUUACCGACCUAGGAGUCAUACCCAAUGUGUUGGGCCCAAUGGCUCUCUUCUGUGACAACACUGGAGCUAUUGCCCUUGCAAAGGAGCCCAAGUUUCACAGGAAGACCAGGCAUAUCAAGUGUCGCUUCAACUCCAUUCGUGAAAGUGUUCAAAAUGGAGACAUAGAUAUUUGUAAAGUACAUACGGACCUGAAUGUGGCAGAUCCAUUGACUAAACCUCUCCCUAGAGCAAAACAUGAUCAACACCAGAACUGCAUGGGUGUUCGAUUCAUCACAAUGUAACUAGACUAUUGACUCUAGUGCAAGUGGGAGACUGUUGGAAAUAUGCCCUAGAUGCAAUAAUAAAAUGGUUAUUAUUAUAUUUCUUUGUUCAUGAUAAUUGUCUAUUGUUCAUGCUAUAAUUGUGUUAUCCGGAAAUCGUCAUACAUGUGUGAAUACAUAGACCACAACACGUCCCUAGUGAGCCUCUACUUGACUAGCUCGUUGAUCAAAAGAUAGUCAUGGUUUCCUGACUAUGGACAUUGGAUGUCAUUGAUAACGGGAUCACAUCAUUAGGAGAAUGAUGUGAUGGACAAGACCCAAUCCUAAGCAUAGCUCAAAGAUCGUGCAGUUCGUUUGUUGUAGCUUUUCCAAAUGUCAAGUAUCAUUUCCUUAGACCAUGAGAUUGUGCAACUCCCGGAUACUGUAGGAGUGCUUUUGGUGUGCCAAACGUCACAACGUAACUGGGUGACUAUAAAGGUACACUACAGGUAUCUCCGAAAGUGUCUGUUGGGUUGGCACAAAUCGAGACUGGGAUUUGUCACUCCGUAUGACGGAGAGGUAUCUCUGGGCCCACUCGGUAAUGCAUCAUCAUAAUGAGCUCAAUGUGACCAAGUGGUUGAUCACGGGAUCAUGCAUUAUGGUACGAGUAAAGUGACUUGCCGGUAACGAGAUUGAACGAGGUAUUGGGAUACCGACGACCAAGUCUCGGGCAAGUAACAUACCGAUUGACAAAGGGAAUUGUAUACAGAUUGAUUGAAUCCUUGACAUCAUGGUUCAUCCGAUGAGAUCAUCGAGGAGCAUGUGGGAGCCAACAUGGGUAUCCAGAUCCCGCUGUUGGUUAUUGACCGGAGAGUCGUCUCGGUCAUGUCUGCGUGUCUCCCGAACCCGUAGGGUCUACACACUUAAGGUUCGGUGACGCUAGGGUUGUUGAGAUAUUAGUAUACGGUAACCCGAAAGUUGUUCGGAGUCCCGGAUGAGAUCCCGGACGUCACAAGGAGUUCCGGAAUGGUCCGGAGGUGAAGAUUUAUAUAUAGGAAGUCAAGUUUCGGCCAUCAGGAAAGUUUCGGGGGUAAUCGGUAUUGUACCAGGACCACCAGAAGGGUCUCGGGGGUCCACCGGGUGGGGCCACCUAUCUCGGAGGGCCCCAUGGGAUGAAGUGGGAGGGGAACCAGCCCCUAGUGGGCUGGUGCGCCCCCAUUGGGCCUCCCCCUGCGCCUAGGGUUGGAAACCCUAGGGGUGGGGGGCGCCCCACUUGGCUUGGGGGGCAAGCCACCCCCUUGGCCGCCGCCCUCCCUUGGAGAUUGGAUCUCCUAGGGCCGGAGCCCCCCCUUAGGGACCCAUAUAUAGUGGGGGAGGGAGGGCAGCCACACCCUAGCCCCUGGCCUCUCCCUCUCCCUCCCGUGACACCUCCUUCUCGCAGUGCUCGGCGAAGCCCUGCCGAGAUCACCGUUGCUUCCACCACCAUGCCGUCGUGCUGCUGGAUCUUCAUCAACCUCUCCUUCCCCCGUUUUGGAUCAAGUUGGAGGAGACGUCUUCCCAACCGUACAUGUGUUGAACGCGGAGGUGCCGUCCGUUCGGCGCUAGGUCAUCGAUGAUUUGGAUCACGACGAGUACGACUCCAUCACCCCCGUUCUCUUGAACGCUUCCGCGUGCGAUCUACAAGGGUAUGUAGAUGCACUACCCUCUCCCUUGUUUCUAGAUGACUCCUUAGAUUGAUCUUGGUGAUGCGUAGAAAAUUUUAAAAUUCUGCUACGUUCCCCAACAAUGCCGCUGGUAAAAUUAAGCAAUGCCACUCUUAGAAUUAACUACUGAAUCUUAGUUCAAAACUGCAACACUUGUUAGGGAUUGGCGGGAUUAACAUUUUUGUGGCCGCAUGUUUCAUCCUCCUUCAGGUCUUCCUCACGAGUUGUUACAAAUCUUGGUCUUGAAAGGUGAGUACCAACUUUCCUCAGAAUUAACUACUGAAUCUUAGUUCAAAAUUGCAACACUUGUUAGGGAUCGGCGGGGGUACCAUUUCUAUUGGGGAUCAGUCGGAGUACAUGUUUAAGAAAUGUAUUGUUCAGAUAAUGUCUCUGUUAUUAUAUAUCUGUUACCGUGUUUUACAAAUGGUACUAUCCUGCUUUGUAGUUCUUUCUACAUGUUUAACCAAGGUAUUGUUAAGAUAAUGUCUCCGUUAAAAUGAAUCGGUCGCAUUGUUUUAGGAAUGGUACUUUUCUGCUUUGUUGUUCUUUAUACAUGUUGAAACAAGGCAUUCUUAAGAUAAUGUCUCAGUUAAUAUGAAUGAAUCACACUAAUUGAGAAUUGCUACUCUCCUACUUUAUUUCCCAUUAAGAUGAGGUAGAUCAGUAGAUGUUUUUCUUCUGGGAGUACAAGUCAUCAACCGUUAUUUCUCAGCAAUUGUUUCCCUUAUACCUAUUGUGGCUUACAGGGAUAUCAAAAUUGAAGCUCGGUUUUAUUCCGACUCUGAUUUUAGUUGAACUGCAUAAAAGGAGCCAAUGUGCCUAAGGCAAACUGCUGCAUUAGUGGGUCCAGUUGGUCUUACCAAUUUGCAGAAAGAAGCAGGCACUGUUUGCGCUACAUUACAGAAGGAAUGAUCGAGAAGCUUUAUAGAGUAUUCGUAGACGCUGGUGACAUGACUAGUCUGCAGAGAGCAUAGGCAACUCUACAACACGUGGAGUGCACUGGGCAAAAAGCCAGGACAGGACUCCAAGUCUGUCAAUGUCAUUCUAAGCAACAAUGAUGGGACAUCUAGGUAUGGUAAUCUGUUUACCGUACUUUUAGUUUGUUAGUCCACCGAUUGGUGGGUUGACACUGGGGCCAAUAUUCAUGUGUGUGCUGAUGUGUCUUUGUUUUCUUGCAGCAUAUAAAUACGAAAUCCACAGGGAUGCUCAGCUUGAUUUUAGUGGAACUGCACAAAAUGUUCAGAUGGUUCGUGUCCUCCAUAAUACUUCAUCAUGCACAAUACAUUGAAUGGUUCUCUAAUCAUUCGUUGUCACCUUGAGCCAUCAGACUAUCAGAUGACAAACUGAUGACAAACCCUGCCUGUUCCACAAUCAUAGGCAUUACAUGUUGAAUGGGAAAAGCUUGUCAAAUUUUAAUCAUUGAUGUUAGCAAGAACACAUUAGUUUAAUAUAUUGGAAUUGUAAAACCUUGUCAAAUUUUGCUCAUUGAUGUUAGCCAGAAGACAUCAUUUGAUAUUUUUUUAGUGGGACGCCCUUUGCUGUGAGCAACGUCGAUCAUUUUUUCCUAUUCAUGUCUUCAGUUCAGAAAUAAAUAUUUACUCUGCUGAGAUGCAUAGUCACAUGAAUGUUGACUUAUGUAAGGUAUUUUAAGAGUUUGUUCUGAAUCUUGUCUAUGUAAUGCCAGGCCUUGUGAGUUUGAUUGCAAAGUUGAGCUUAGAAUGCUGUGGCAUGCGGCAUCAUGAGUUGUUCACCAUGCCUCCGGAGAAUAAUGCUUCAUAUUGUUUUGCAUGUUGAGCUAAUGCCUGUGAUUUGCAUGUUAAGAAGAUCAUCCUCUUUGUUGUUUAUGUGCUUAAGAAGUUCAUUGUCUUAUGUUUUAUUCAUAGCCUAUACGACAACUCAGGUAGGUUAGAGGUGAAACCAUAUGAUCUUCCGACCAACUCAUCAUCUUAGGAUGUGAUUGGAUCAUCGUUUUCCAACCAAAACCGCUUGUAAAACUGACGCUUGUGAAUAAAAGCAGAUGGUCUCGGGCGAAGCGCUUGGUUGGUCGAUUUCAACUAGUAAAAUAUACACUGGUCUCUCAAAUUACACACGUGACACGUCGGUUUUCGUUACAGACCUCGGGCCCUCAGUUUCAUUACGCCUGUAUUUUACGCGUUGUUUCCGAUGACGAGUAAAUUACACUUGUAUCUUAAUACAUGUGUGAAAUAAACCAGAGCUCCCAAGUGCGGCCUUACCGUUUCAUGCCGUCUCAGUCUCUCGAAGGUGCUCAUAGGUGUCCGAUGAUCCUGGCUUCCUGAAUGAGCCGUGGGCGCUGUAUCAGACCAUCCGUAGGGCUCGCGAGGCCCUCCCCGUCACCCUUCAAGUUGUGGCGCUCGCCGUGGCACCAAGCAUUGUCAACAUGGUCAACGAACAUGAGGAUUCAUGAGAUGACUUUAUUUUGACUGGAUGACAGUAGGGACCCACUAGGGCCAUAUCCGUAUGUACGCAAGUUCCUCCUUAUUAUAUAUAACUAUAUAUUUUUGCUUCCUCCUGGUUUCCUGACAUCACGGUCCCACACCAUCGUCAACCUAUAUAGUCAAUAAACGAGAGAAUUGCAUAAGGAGCGACCGACAGUUGGGACCCAACAGCUCGAGCAGUAUUUGUUUUUAGGUGUAAGUGGAGUUUUUCUUGAGUGAUGCUUUUAUUGUUGUUCAGAGGAGCAGGGUAUCAACUGGGUGGGAUGUGGCCCGUCUAGCCUAGGCUAUUAUUUUAUGUCGACCAAAUAUCCAGCCCAGAUAUUAUUUUUUCAAGGUGAAAAUGGCUAGCCCAGCUAUACUUUUUUGCGGAAUACCCAAUCCAGGUCAACUUGUUAUUCUCCACCCCGUUGGGCUGUAAAUCUUUCCUAUUAGGCCUAACAAGAAAAUGGGCUUUAGGAAAUAAUAAAUGAGAUGUAACUAUAAAAAGUGGGCUGUAAAUAUACAAAAACACACCAAGCAGGUAAUUAGUUUCAAAAAUAUUAUUGUUUGAAUUUGGAAAUUUUCAUUUCAUUACUUAUUGCGCGUGCAGUAUUUUUUUAGAUUUUUACCUAAUACAAAUUCAUUUUGAAAUUAUAUUUAAACUAACUCGAAAUUUCGGGAUAAUAUUUUCGGAUCCCAUCAAAAUGUGGGAUUUUUGGUUGAAUUCUGUUUUGAGAGGUUGGUUUAAAUUAUUAAUCAUUGUCCUGGCUAGAAAAUGGGUUGUAAUUUUAACAAACUAUAAAUGGGUUGUAGUAAAUUCCAUUAGAAUUCAAAAAUGGGUUGUACACUAUUACAAAUCGCAAAUGGGUUAUAUGUUCUCUGCCACAUAUGUGAUGCUCACUUGUGGGCCUACAUUUUUUUGGGAAUUAUAGUCAGUGACGCGUACCGAAGGCUUGUGGGCCUACUAAGGCAUACGGAAGGCUUUAUAAACUUAUAGUCAACACACGAUUCUAGCAGCAGUGGUCGUUGGAUGUCCAUCCAACGGCUGUAGUGCUUCUUCAAUCUCGGAUAUUCUUGCUUCAGCCGCCCAAACCAUCGCCGAUAGUACUGCCUGCUACCGCCUUCCUGGCUGGCUGUGCUGCUGCGCAGGCUUCACCAACCCACUCUAGUCCCAAGCGUCGUCCAGGCCAUUCCUCUACUCACCAACACCUCCUGUUCUUCACCGGCGACGAUAGCCUCACACCGCAGUCGAACGAGUGAACCCUUGUCCUCCCCUCCGCAUGGGCAUCCAUUGUUGUGUCUUCGCCCGCUCUGGGUCGUUCCCUUUGUAAUACUCGCCAUCGUUCACUGCGUUGGUUCUCUCGGUGCAACGUGGUCAACUUUGUCAACAAAUGACAUCCAUCGGGGACAGAGAUCCAGUGUCUUGCCCACAAGAAGGCACGGUGUAACUGGCGGCCAGCCAGCUGUUGGAUCAGGGGGGGGCGGCUUAGAUGGGGCAUGUAUGUGGAUUGGCUGACAGUAGGAACGCACAUGGCCCAUGGCCGCACGCAGCAAGUGCCCACGUAUUAUGCGAAAACAAAUAAUUUCUCCCCCUGACAGGCUUGACCCACCAGCUACAUCUUCGCAUGCAAGGAAGUGCUUCCUUUAUUACGCGGAAAUAAAUAGUUUCCUCUCUAUGAUAGCUGGGGCCCACCAGCUUUAUUAUGAUCCUUUUUGUGAAAAUAUAGAUUGUACCGAAGAUCCUAAAUUGUUCUAUUUUUAUUCUAACUCAAAAAAGAAGAAAUAAAAAACCCAGAAAACAUCUUCGCAUGCAAGGAAGUGCCACCUUAUUAUGCAAAAAAAUUGAGUCCCCCUGCUAGUUGGGACCCACCAGAUUUGUAGGUGAUGUCUACUACACAACCUUCUUCUUGUAGACGUUGUUGGGCCUCCAAGUGCAGAGGUUUGUAGGACAGUAGCAAAUUUCUCUCAAGUGGAUGGCCUAAGGUUUAUCAAUCCGUAGGAGGCAUAAGAUGAAGAUGGUCUCUCUCAAGCAACCCUGCAACCAAAUAACAAAGAGUCUCUUGUGUCCCCAACACACCCAAUACAAUGGUAAAUUGUAUAGGUGCACUAGUUCGACGAAGAGAUGGUGAUACAAGUGCAAUAUGGAUAGUAGAUAAUAGUUUUUGUAAUCUGAAAAUAUAAAAACAGCAAGGUAACUAAUGAUAAAAGUGAGCACAAACGGUAUUGCAAUGCGUUGAAACAAGGCCUAGGGUUCAUACUUUCACUAGUGCAAGUCCUCUCAACAAUAAUAACAUAAUUGGAUCACAUAACUAUCCCCCAACAUGCAACAAAGAGUCACUCCGAAGUCACUAAUAGCGGAGAACAAACGAAGAGAUAAUGGUAGGGUAUGAAACCACCUCAAAGUUAUUCUUUCCAAUCAAUCCAUUGGGCUAUUCCUAUAAGUGUCAUAAACAGCCCUAGAGUUCGUACUAGAAUAACACCUUAAGACACAAAUCAACCAAAACCCUAAUGUCACCUAGAUACUACAAUGUCACCUCAAGUAUCCGUGGGUAUGAUUAUACGAUAUGCAUCACACAAUCUCAGAUUCAUCUAUUCAACCAACACAUAGAACCUCAAAGAGUUCCCCAAAGUUUCUACUGGAGAAUCACGACGAAAACGUGUGCCGACCCCUAUGCAUAGGUUCAUGGGCGGAACCCGCAAGUUGAUCACCAAAACAUACAUCAAGUGAAUCACGUGAUAUCCCAUUGUCACCACAGAUAUGCACGGCAAGACAUACAUCAAGUGUUCUCAAAUCUUUAAAGACUCAAUCCGAUAAGAUAACUUCAAAGGGGAAACUCAAUCCAUUACAAGAGAGUAGAGGGGGAGGAGAAACAUAAGAUCCAACUAUAAUAGCAAAGCUCGCGAUACAUCAAGAUCGUGUCAAAUCAAGAACACGAGAGAGAGAGAGAGAGAGAGAGAGAGAGAGAGAUCAAACACAUAGCUACUGGUACAUACCCUCAGCCCCGAGGGAGAACUACUCCCUCCUCGUCAUGGAGAGCAACGGGAUGAUGAAGAUGGCCACCGGAGAAGGAUUCCCCCUCCGGUAGGGUGCCGGAACGGGUCUAGAUUGGUUUUCGAUGGCUACGGAGGCUUCUGGCGGCGGAACUCCCGAUCUAUUGUGCUCACGUAUGUUUGUAGGGUAUAUGGAGAUAUAUAGGAGGAAGAAGUACAUCAGGGGGGGCACGAGGGGCCCACGAGGGUGGAGGGCGCGCCCCCCUACCUCGUGGCUCCCUUGUUUCUUUCCUGACGUGCACUCCAAGUCCAUCAGGUUGCUUUCCUUCCAAAAAUAAGUUCCGUGAAGUUUCAGGUCAAUUGGACUCCGUUUGAUUUUCCUUUUGUGCGAUACUCUAAAACAAGGUAAAAACAGAAACUGGCACUGAGCUCUGGGUUAAUAGGUUAGUCCCAAAAAAUGAUAUAAAAGUGUAUAAUAAAGUCCAUAAACAUCCAAAACAGUAGAUAAUAUAGCAUGGAGCAAUCAAAAAUUAUAGAUACGUUGGAGACGUAUCAGCAUCCCCAAGCUUAAUUCCUGCUCGUCCUCGAGUAGGUAAAUGAUAAAAACAGAAUUUUUGAUGCGGAGUGCUACUUGGCAUAAUUUCAAUGUAAUUCUUCUUAUUUGUGGCAUGAAUAUUCGGAUCCGAAAGAUUCAAGACAAAAGUUCAUAUUGACAUCAAAUAAAAUAAUAAUACUUCAAGCAUACUAACAAAGUAAUCAUGUCUUCUCAAAAUAACAUGGCCAAAGAAAGUUCAUCCCUACAAAAUCAUAUAGUUCAGUCAUGCUCCAUUUUUGUCACACAAGAAUGCUCUCAUCAUGCACAACCCCGAUGACAAGCCAAGCAAUUGUUUCAUACUUUAGUAAUCUCAAACCUAUAAACUUUAACGCAAUACAUGAGCGCGAGCCAUGGAUAUAGCACUAUGGGUGGAAUAGAAUAAUGAGGAGGUUAUGUGGAGAAGACAAAAAUGAGAAAGUCUCACAUCAAUGAGGCUAAUUGAUGGGCUAUGGAGAUGCCCAUCGAUUGAUGUUAAUGCAAGGAGUAGGGAUUGUCAUGCAACGGAUGCACUUGAGCUAUAAAUGUAUGAAAGCUCAACAAAAGAAACUAAGUGGGUGUGCAUCCAACUUUCUUGCUCACGAAGACCUAGGGCACUUGAGGAGGCCCAUUGUUGGAAUAUACAGGCCAAGUUCUAUAAUGAAAAAUUCCCUCUAGUAUAUGAAAGUGACAAAACAAGAGACUCUCUAUCAUGAAGAUUAUGGUGCUACUUUGAAGCACAAGUGUGGCAAAGGAUAGUAGCAUUGUCCCUUCUCUCUUUUUCUCUCAUUUUGUGGGCCUUCUCUUUUUUAUGACCUUCCUCUAUUUUCUUUUUUGGGGCCUUCUCUCUUUUUUAUGGCCUUUUUUAUUCCUCACUUGGGACAAUGCUCUAGAAAAUGAUGAUCAUCACACUUCUAUUUAUUUACAACUCAAUGAUUACAACUUGAUACUAGAACAAGAUAUGACUCUAUAUGAAUGCCUCUGGUGGUGUACCGGGAUUGCGAUGAUGCAUGAGUGACAUGUAUGAAAGAAUUAUGAGAGGUGGAUUUUCCACAAAUACAAUGUCCACUACAUGAUCAUGCAAAGCAAUAUGACAAUGCUAAAGCGUGUCAUAGUAAACGGAACGGUGGAAAGUUGCAUGGCAAUAUAUCUCGGAAUGGCUAUGGAAAUGCCAUAAUAGGUAGGUAUGGUGGCUGUUUUGAGGAAGAUAUAAGGAGAUUUAUGUGUGAUAGAUCGUAUAAUAUCACGGGGUUUGGAUGCACCGGCGAAGUUUGCACCAACUCUCAAUGUGAGAAAGGGCAAUGCACGAUACCGAAGAGGCUAGCAAUGAUGGAAGGGUGAGGGUGCGUAUAAUCCAUGGACUCAACACUAGUCAUAAAGAACUCACAUACUUAUUGAAAAAAUCUACAAGUCAUCAAAAACCUCGGCAUUGCGCGCAUGCUCCUAGGGGGAUAGAUUGGUAGGAAAAUACCAUCGCUCGUCCCCGACCGCCACUCAUAAGGAAGACAAUCAAAUAACACCUCAUGUUUGAAAUUUGUUACACAACGUUUACCAUACGUGCGUGCUACAGGACAUGCAAACUUCAACACAAGCACUUCUCAAAUUCACAACUACUCAACUAGCAUGACUUUGAUAUUAUUACCUCCAUAUCUCAAAACAAUCAUCAAGUAUGAAACUUCUCUUAGUAUUCAAUGCACUUAUAUGAAAGUUUUUACUAUUCUUGGAUGCCUAGCAUAUUAGGAUUAUUUAAGAAAAUUACCAUGCUAUUUAAGACUCUCAAAAUAAUAUAAGUGAAGCACGGGAAUUCAUCUAUUUCUUCAAAAUAAAACCACCACCGUGCUCUAAAAAGAUAUAAGUGAAGCACUAGAGCAAAUGACAAACUACUCCGAAAGAUAUAAGUGAAGAUCAAUGAGUAGUCAAACAAUUAUGCAACUAUAUGAAGACUCUCUAACAUUUAAUAAUUUCAGAUCUUGGUAUUUUAUUCAACAAGCAAAACAAAAGGAAAUAAAAUGACGCUCCAAGCAAAACACAUAUCAUGUGGCGAAUAAAAAUACAGCUCCAAGUAAAGUUACCGAUGAACGAAGACGAAAGAGGGGAUGCCUUCAGGGGAAUCCCCAAGCUUAGGUUUUGGUUGUCCUUGAAUAUUAACUUGGGGUGCCUUGGGCAUCCCCAAUCUUAGGCUCUUGCCACUCCUUAUUCCAUAGUCCAUCAAAUCUUUACCCAAAACUUGAAAACUUCACAACACAAAACUUAACAGAAAACUCGUAAGCUCCGUUAGUAUAAGAAAAUAAAUCACCACUUAGGUACUGUUGUGAACUCAUUAUAAAUUCAUAUUAGUGUAAUAUCUAGUGUAUUACAACUUAUCUAUGGUUCAUACCCUCCGGUACUACUCAUAGAUUCAUCAAAAUAAGUGAACAACACAUCGAAAACAGAAUCUGUCAAAAACAGAACAGUCUGAAGUAAUAUGGAUCAAACGUAUACUUCUGGAACUCAUAAAAUUCUCAAAUAAAUUUCUGGACCUGAGGAAUUUAUCUAUUAAUCAUCUGAAAAAAUAAUUAACUAAAUAUCACUCUCCAAUAAAAAAUGGCAGCAAUUCUCGUGAGCGCUAAAGUUUCUGUUUUUUACAGCAUGAUCAUAAAGACUUCACCCAAGUCUUCCCAAAGGUUCUACUUGGCACAAACACUAAUUAAAACAUAAAAACUCAAUCAUAACAGAGUCUAGAUAAAUUAUUUAUUACUAAACAGGAGCAAAAAGCAAGGAACAAAAAUAAAGUUGGGUUGCCUCCCAACAAGCGCUAUCGUUUAACACCCCUAGCUAGGCAUGAUGAUUUCAAUGAUGCUCACAUAAAAGAUAAGAAUUGAAACAUAAAGAGAGCAUCAUGAAGAAUAGGACUAGCACAUUUAAGUCUAACCCACUUCCUAUGCAUAGGGAUUUUGUGAGCAAACAACUUGUGGGAACAAGAAUCAACUUGCAUAGGAAGGUAAAACAAGCAUAACUUCAUAACUUUAAGCACAUAGAGAGGAAACUUGAUAUUAUUGCAAUUCCUACAAGCAUAUAUUCCUCCCUCAUAAUAAUUUUCAGUAGCAUUAUGAAUGAAUUCAACAAUAUAACCAGCACCUAAAGCAUUCUUUUCAUUAUCUACCAGCAUAGGAAUUUUAUUACUCUCCUCAUAAGAAAAAUUCUUCUCAUUCGGAAUAGUGGGAGUAUCAUAAGAGACUCGAAUACUAUAAAUUGUUUCCACAUGAAAAGAGUAAUGUUCAGGAAAGGGGUAAUCAUAAUCAUGACAAGUUUCAUAGAUAUAAUCACUACUUUUUAUAGCAUAAGUAUCAUCACAAUAAUCGUCAUAGGUAGGAGGCAUGCUAUCAUCAUUAUAAAUUUGCAUAUUAAAACUUAGGAGACUAAAAAGAUCAUCUUCAUUAAGCGUAGCAUCCCCAAGCUUGGGACAAACAUUAAUUGUAGCAAAUAUAUUCUCAAAAACAUCAUCUUCAUCAAACAUAGCAUCCCCAAGCUUGGGCCUUUUCAUAUCAUAAGCAUAAUCACUCUCAUCAUUAAUAGUAUGGAUAGCACCAAUAGUAUAGCAAUUAUCAUAUUCUUCUAAGCAAGUGCCAAAAAGAUUUUCAAGAUCAUAAGAAGUAUCAUUAUAUUCCACAAUUAUGUUUUCACGAGGCACAAUAGUAAUAGGAGAAGCAUUAUUUGGGAAAGGUGUCUUUUUACCUCUCUUCCUUUUUCUUUUCUUCUUCUUCACCACAUCAUGUGUGGGUUCAAUCCUCUUUUUGGAGCUCCUUAUUAAUGAGAUUGGUUGAAUAGGAGGCUCCUCCUCGUUACCUGAUUCAUCAUAAGAAAUAAUAGGAGGGUAUUGGGAAGUCUCUUCCCUUUCAUUAGUAUUCUCUUCAUCUUCUAUUUGUUUUCUUUUCUUUAUGUAGUUGGAAUAUAAGGAUUUUCAAUACAAUUCACCGCACAAUACAUAUAAAUCUUCUCUAGAUCAAAAUCAAGAAAUCUAUCAAGAUUAAAUUUUGGAAUACCCUCAGUAAUACAUUUCAUUUCCUCAUACCCCAAAAGAAUACUAAGCUCUUUAUGAUGCUCAAGGGUAAUCAAAUUAUCACAAUUUUUGGAUACGAUUCGGUCAUGAAACAAUUUGCAUUGGAGAUUUAAAUGACCAUGUUCAUUGCAAAGUUCACAAGGGGCGCGAAAAAUAUUGAAUUUUUCAGCACAAUCAUCAAGACUUUCUUGCAACAAUUUAGUUUCUAAAUACUUAUGCCUCUUGCAAUAUCUAUCUUCCUUAUUUGGUGUGUACUUGCAAACCCAAUGCACUCCACAAAAAUUGACAUGUUUAUAGGAGACAUUUUCAUCAUAACUAGUGCAAUCAUCAUUAGUACCAUGGAUAUUCAAGGAGUUCAUACUAACAACAUUGCAAUCAUGCUCAUCAUUCAAAUAUUUAGUGCCAAACAUUCUAAUGCAUUCUUCUUCUAGCACUUUGGCACAAUUUUCCUUUCCAUUAUACUCACGAAAGAUAUUAAAAAGAUGAAGCGUAUGAGACAAACUUAAUUCCAUUUUUUGUAGUUUUCUUUUAUAAACUAACUAGUGCUAAAACAAGAAACAAAAAGACUCGAUUGCAAGAUCUAAAGAUAUACCUUCAAGCGCUAACCUCCUCGGCAACGGCGCCAGAAAAGAGCUUGAUGUCUACUACACAACCUUCUUCUUGUAGACGUUGUUGGGCCUCCAAGUGCAGAGGUUUGUAGGACAGUAGCAAAUUUCCCUCAAGUGGAUGACCUAAGGUUUAUCAAUCCGUAGGAGGCGUAGGAUGAAGAUGGUCUCACUAAAGCAACCCUGCAACCAAAUAACAAAGAGUCUCUUGUGUCCCCAACACACCCAAUACAAUGGUAAAUUGUAUAGGUGCACUAGUUCGGCGAAGAGAUGGUGAUACAAGUGCAAUAUGGAUAGUAGAUAAUAGUUUUUUUAAUCUGAAAAUAUAAAAACAACAAGGUAACUAAUGAUAGAAGUGAGCACAAACGGUAUUGCAAUGCGUUGAAACAAGGCCUAGGGUUCAUACUUUCACUAGUUCAAGUCCUCUCAACAAUAAUAACAUAAUUGGAUCACAUAACUAUCCCUCAACAUGCAACAAAGAGUCACUCUGAAGUCACUAAUAGCGGAGAACAAACAAAGAGAUUAUGGUAGGGUACGAAACCACCUUAAAGUUAUUCUUUCCAAUCAAUCCGUUGGGCUAUUCCUAUAAGUGUCACAAACAGCCCUAGAGUUCGUACUAGAAUAACACCUUAAGACACAAAUCAACCAAAACCCUAAUGUCACCUAGAUACUCCAAUGUCACCUCAAGUAUCUGUGGGUAUGAUUAUACGAUAUGCAUCACAUAAUCUCAGAUUUAUCUAUUCAACCAACACAUAGAACCUCAAAGAGUGCCCCAAAGUUUCUACCGGAGAAUCACGACGAAAACGUGUGCCAACCCCUAUGCAUAGGUUCAUGGGCGGAACCCGCAAGUUGAUCACCAAAACAUACAUCAAGUGAAUCACGUGAUAUCCCAUUGUCACCAUAGAUACGCACGGCAAGACAUACAUCAAGUGUUCUCAAAUCUUUAAAGACUCAAUCCGAUAAGAUAACUUAAAAGGGGAAACUCAAUCCAUUACAAGAGAGUAGAGGGGAAGGCGAAACAUAAGAUCCAAAUAUAAUAGCAAAGCUCGCGAUACAUCAAGAUCAUGCCAAAUUAAGAACACGAGAGAGAGAGAGAGAGAGAGAGAGAGAGAGAGAGAGAUCAAACACAUAGUUACUAGUACAUACCCUCAGCCCCGAGGGAGAACUACUCCCACCUCGUCAUGGAGAGCACUGGGAUGAUGAAGAUGGCCACUGGAGAAGGAUUUCCCCUCCGGCAGGGUGCCGGAACGGGUCUAGAUUGGUAUACGGUGGCUACGGAGGCUUCUGGCAGCGGAACUCCCGAUCUAUUGUGCUCACGGAUGUUUUUAGGGUAUAUGGAGAUAUAUAGGCAGAAGAAGUACGUCAGGGGGGGCACGAGGGUGGAGGGCGUGCCCUAGGGGGUGGGUGCGCCCCCUACCUCGUGGCUCCCUCAUUUCUUUCCUGACAUGCACUCCAAGUCCAUCAGGUUGCUUUCCUUCCAAAAAUAAGUUCCGUGAAGUUUCAGGUCAAUUGGACUCCAUUUGAUUUUCCUUUUCUGUGAUACUCUAAAACAAGGUAAAAACAGAAACUGGCAUUGGGCUCUGGGUUAAUAGGUUAGUCCCAAAAAAUGAUAUAAAAGUGUAUAAUAACGCCCAUAAACAUCCAAAACAGUAGAUAAUAUAGCAUGGAGCAGUCAAAAAUUAUAGAUACGUUGGAGACGUAUCAGUAGGCUGACUUGUGGGCCUACUAAGUGAACGCGUAUGCAGGGCUUUGUCAACUUAGUCGAUAAACGAUUCUAGCUACACUGACCGUUCGAUAUUAAUCCAACGGCCAAGCUACGUCUUCAACCUCUGGUCUUGUUGCUCCAGCCGCCCAAACCUGCGCCCGCCGUACCGCCUGCUCCAGCCUCUCGUGGUCGGCUAUGCUGCCGCACAGGCCUCACUGCCCGACCAUACUACUAAUGGCCAGGCCUUCCCUCUACUCACCCACACCCCCUGUUAUUCUCCAAAGACGGCAGCCUCAAACCGCAGCUGAAGCAAUCAACCCCAUACUCUCCUCCGCGUGGGCAUCCACUGCUGCGUAUUCCCCGGCUCUGGGUCGUUCCCUUCCUAGGUCGCGCCGUCGUCCACCACCUUGGUGCUCUCGGGCGGUAUGGCGUCAUCAACGCGGUUGUCGGUGUACUAGAAUAGGGGUACCCUAGUACCCCGAACUUGUGCACGGGCAGUUGCAGCACCCCGCGGCAAGGCUUGCCGGGCGAACACCAAGAUCCUCCGUGGUUCCCUUGGAGCCAUUCAAGAAUAAAGUAUUUAAGCUUAGGAGACAAGGCCCCGGCAAGAGGAGCUUGCUGGGAAGGCCAACCAAGGCACACCAAGGAACUUGCCGCGACGCGCCACGCGCUCCGGCAAGGCAACAAGGCCCCGACAAGAGGAGCUUGCCGGGAAUACCAGCCCAGGUACCUCGAGGCCCGGUGAGCGACAACCUUCCGGACCCGACAAGAUAACAGCAGCGGCAAGGCGCUUGCCGCGGCAGGCGGCCACUCUGUGCCCACGCUCCAGUGCAUCCACCAACGUGUCGCCCCGGGGGCCUCUCCAGGCGCGCGUGGCGGGAGGCUGUGCAGCCAGCGGUGCGUAGUGGCAUGCGAAACUGACAGGAUCGCCAUCGUGGCGAACGGUGGCGCCCCUAACGGUCCUUUUCUGCACUGUUUGGGUGACCCAGACGGGUAUUUAAUGCCCUUGUCCCCUGCCGUCAGAGUUAGGUAGGGUGCACUGUACAAAUAAUUGUACCAACCACCUCACUUUUUACAUUUGUGCCCUUCUCUGCGUUGCCACCUGUCGGUGACCCCUUUAGCGUAUAAAAGGAGGCCCAUGCGCAACGUAGGGGGGGUUCGGUCGGUUCGACUCAUUCGUAACCCAGAAAGACACUACGCUCUCUCUAGAGCAAGAACACAAGAUAAUACAGCCAGACAAGCAGCAGUAGGAGUGUUAUCUCUCCGGAGAGCUCCGAAGCUGGGUAAAACAGCUCGUGUGCUUCGCCUCGAUCUACUCUUCGUGCGACCUCCGCCCCCCGCCGAACCGAAAGGGGCCCGAUCUGCCGGCCCCAUAGGUGUUGGUGGAUCAGUUUCCCCGACAUCUUUGGCGCGCCAGGUAGGGGGCGUCGAGAUUGUGUGAACCUGAUCCGGCGUUCACACGAGCUAGAUCUUCAUUCCCUUCAUCAACAUGCCACCGAAGAAGAAGACUUCGGUGGCAGCCGCUCUGUCCACGUCUCUUCCGCCACCGUUGGAGCAAACGGGUGGUGGAAUGGACGUCGGCGGAAGAAUGGACGUCGACGAGGAAGCUCAUGAUGCUGCCAGGUCCAAGGACAAGGCUGCACAAACCUCGGCGACUAUACAUGUCCCGCGCCACUCUCAGGAGGCGCAAGACCAACAGCGUCAUGGCACUUGCAGUGCCAUACGCAUGAUAGGCCAAGACCAAGCUGGUGGAUCUCGGGGCGCUCAAGACCAGCAUGCACGCCAGCGUGCUGGCACGGGCGGGGCACGGUCGCCUGGACGGGAUACUGCUCCUUCUAACAUAGUUAGAAGUUCGAGCACGUCCCGCUCCUCGCGCCGUCCGCCACUGCCACCCACCACUCCAGCAGAAGCUUUGGCGCAAGCUCAACUUCUCCUAGAUUACCCUCCGACGCCGGACAAGAUCGAUGAAUGGAGGGCCACCAUUCAGAGUCUCAUCGGCUACGCCAACGGCGACACUCCACGGCGGCCGAGCGCGUCGCCGCCGCGGCAGGGUUGCCGGGCGCGAGCCGGUGGCGACGAAACGGGUGGAGGUGCAACUACCAUGCAAUCACCACCCCGAAGGCCAAGAUCGCCGACUCGCCGGAUCCACCUCGACAGCGACUCCACCGCAUCGUUGGAUCCACGAGCUCGUCGCGAUCAGCGCCAAGUUCUUCAUGAUCAACAACAAGAAGACGCCCGAACUCGCAUCGAGCGCCGAAGAGAAGCGCGACGUCAAUCCGACAAGCGCGCUGGGCCCUCUGUUGACAUGCAUGCGCCAGGGGAACCAGGCGAUCUACCGUACACGGUAGGUUGCCCUGCGUUCACUCGUGAGCUGCGGCAAGUCCAGUGGCCCAGCAUAAAGAACUUCAAGCCAGACGUACCGGAGAAGUACGACGGCAAGACACAUCCGUCGGAGUUCCUCAGCAUCUACACCAUUGCGGUACAGGCUGCCGGGGGACGAGAUGACAAGAUCCUUGCCAACUACUUCCCGCUGGUACUCAAGCCCAACGUCAAGUCCUGGCUCAUGCACUUGCCGGACAACUCCAUAUCUUCUUGGGCUGAUCUGUGCCAUCAGUUUGUCGGCGCCUUCACAGGCGGACACAAGCCUCAUGGCCAGGAGAGUGAUCUUCAUCUGCUCACCCAGAAGGAAGGAGAGCCCCUGCACAAGUACAUUCAGAGAUUCAGCAGUGUGCAGCACAACAUCCCAGAUGUCCACCCUGCCGCGGUGAUCAGCACGUUCCAUCAGAACGUGCGGAACCGCAGGAUGCGGGAGGAAAUGGCGAUGUGCAAGAUCAGGGACGUCAGUGAGUUAUAUGCACUGGCCGACAAGUGUGCACAUGCUGAGGAAGGGAGGAGACUCCCCGGAGAGAAUGUAGGAGCGGGAGGAUCUGACAGUGAAGAUGCUACCCCGUCAAGGAAAAACCGGCGGCGGAACAACAGAAGGAGGAAAGGCAAAGAAGUGCUAGUUGUUGAGCAGUCCGGCAACGGUGGUGGCGCCAAGGAAGCCAAAGCUGGUGACUCCGGCAAGGAGGUUGUCGCGGAGGUGGCGGUCGCCGACAAGCAGGACGGCACCAACAAGCAGUAUUGCAAGAUCCACCGCACCAAGGGCCAUGAUCUCCAGAACUGUAAGAAAGUCGAACAGCUUGUUGAGCAACAGAAAGCUGAAUACGAGCGGCGCGACAAGGAGAAGGCCCAGGAAGGUGCUGGGGGAUCCGGCAAGAAACGUCCCGGCCGAGGAGGACGCCGCGGCAAGGCCAAGCAGCGGCAAGGAGACAGACCUCCUCGCGGCCGCGACAAGGAUGAAGAUGACGACGACGAUGAAGACAUGGAUGAUGAGGAGACUGAUGAGCAGGAGUUCCAGAAAGCCACAGAGGUCCUAUGCAUUGACGGUGGUGCUUCUCUACAUACCUCGCACCGCCAGCUCAAGCAGUGGGUGCGGGAAGUUAAUGCAGCAGAACCACCCGUCGAGUCACGCAAGCCUCUGAAAUGGUCCGGCACGCCUAUCAUCUUUGAUAUUGAGGACCACCCUGAUCGCAUAACUGCGGUCGGGUGCUUGCCGAUGCUGGUUUCACCAACAAUCCGCAACCUCAAGGUCACUAAGAUGCAAGUUGACGGCGGGGCCGGCUUGAACCUGAUCUCCUCCGCGGUGCUUCAGAAACUCCAGAUCCCUGACAGCGAGCUCGAAGAGACCGGUACAUUUCUAGGAAUCAACCCGAGAAGGAGCAAGCCGAAGGGAAAGAUCACGUUGCCGGUAACAUUUGGCAGCGAGCUGAACUUCAGGACUGAGAGGGUCACGUUUGACGUUGCCGACUUCCCAUUACAUUACAAUGGAAUCCUUGGCCGUCCGGCACUCGCCAAGUUCAUGGCAGCCUCUCACUAUGCGUACAACGUACUGAAAAUGCGAGGCCCGAUAAGUGUCAUCUCUGUCCCUGGUGACAAGAAGGAUGCUCUUAUCUGUGCCGACAAGAUCUACCGGGAAGCAGCAGCCGCAGAAGAACGCAGGACACUUGCCGCUGAAGCUCCCGGGGGGAAGAAGAAGACCAAGUCCGGCAAGAGCUCUGAUGCCCACUCCGGCAAGCGCACCUCUUCGGAGUGCUGCGCUACCGUCGAGGACGCACCAUCGAGCUCCACCGGCAAGUGUAAGAAGGCAAUGGCAGCUCCACCUGAGACCAAGAAGGUGUCCGCCAAGGAGGAUGGCGCUGGUGGUACCUUCACCAUCAGCGCCACUCUUGAUCCCAAAUAGGAAAGCGCGCUCGUUGCUUUCCUGCGGGCGAAUGUCGACGUGUUUGCAUGGCAACCGUCUGAUAUCCCCAGUGUUCCCAGGAAAGUAAUUGAGCACCACCUUGCCGUUUGUCCUCAUGCAUGGCCCGUCAAGCAGAGAGUCAGGAAACAGGCAGUAGAGCGCCAAGAAUUCAUCGCAGAAGAAAUCAAGAAGUUGGAAGCAGCAGGCCUUGUCAGAGGAGUGCUCCAUCCCACGUGGUUGGCCAAUCCUGUUGUCGUGCGCAAGGCUAACGGGAAAUGGAGGCUUUGUAUUGACUUUACUGAUGUUAAUAAAGCUUGUCCCAAAGACCCAUUUCCCUUGCCACGUAUUGACCAGAUUGUUGACUCCAUAGCCGGAUGUGAUUUGCUUUCAUUUCUUGAUGCAUACUCAGGAUACCAUCAGAUCUUCAUGGCAGAAGAAGAUGAAGAGAAAACCGCAUUUAUCACCCCAUGUGGCACGUACUGCUUCGUACGGAUGCCUUUCGGUUUGAAGAAUGCUAGUUCAACAUUCGCAAGGGUAGUCCACCAUGCUUUUGAGCCGCAGAUGCACAGAAAUGUGGAAGCCUACAUGGAUGACAUAGUGGUCAAGAGCAAGAACAGGGCGACCCUGAUUCAAGAUUUAGACGAGACAUUUGCAAAUCUGCGCAAGAUCAACCUCAAGCUUAACCCCGAGAAGUGCGUGUUUGGAGUCCCUUCCGGCAAGCUUCUCGGGUUCUUCGUGUCUCAGCGGGGAAUUGAAGCCAAUCCCGACAAGAUCAAGGCCAUUGAGCAGAUUGAAGCACCAAAGCACGUCAAGGAUGUACGAAGGCUUGCGGGUUGCGUGGCUGCUCUCAGCAGGUUUAUCUCUAGAUCUGCUGAGCGCGCCCUGCCAUUUUUCAAAAUUUUGAAAAAGGCAGGUCCAAUGAAAUGGACUCCGGAGGCGGAGGCUGCGCUGCAGGACUUGAAAAGAUACCUGUCCUCCACUCCAACACUUGUCGCACCUAGGCCGCAAGAGAAGUUGCUGCUGUAUAUAGCGGCAACCAAUCAAGUGGUUAGUGCUGCGUUAGUGGCGGAGAGGGAGGCAGAUGAUGAGCCAGCAACCACAGCAGAUGCAUCCAGCGACAAGCAGGGGGCUUCGCCGACAAGCUCUGUUCCCGACAAAGAUGGAUCUGCGCAGGAGCAUGAUAAGAUACAGAAGAGAAUGGUGCAGCGUCCAGUUUACUUUGUCAGCUCCCUUCUACAGGGGGCUAGAUCAAGGUACUCUGGUGUGCAGAAGUUGCUCUUCGGCCUCCUCAUGGCCUCGAGAAAGCUGCGCCAUUACUUCCAAGCACAUGAGAUCACAGUCAUCACUCGCUUUCCGCCGAAGAGGAUACUGCAAAAUCCAGAAGCAACAGGCAGGAUUGUCGAGUGGGCGCUGGAACUGUCAAGCUUUGGCCUCAAGUUUGAGAGCACUUCAACUAUCCAAAGCAGAGCAUUGGCAGAGUUCAUAGAAGAAUGGAUGCCAACCCCAGAUGAAGAAAUUCUAGAGACGAGCAUCCCCGUCAAAGAGGCAAGCAAAAAGUGGUUGAUGUACUUUGAUGGUGCCUUCUCGCUGCAAGGCGCCGGUGCAGGCGUGCUGCUUGUCGCGCCCACCGGAGAGCACCUCAAGUACGUAGUCCAGAUGCACUUUCCCAAGGAGCAAGCAACCAACAAUACUGCAGAGUAUGAAGGAUUGCUUGCCGGACUCAGAAUCGCAGCAGACCUUGGGAUCAAGAAGCUCACUGUCAGGGGUGACUCACAGCUUGUCAUCCGCCAAGUGAACAAGAACUACCAGAGUCCAAUGAUGGAAGAGUAUGUCGAUGAAGUGAGGAAGCUAGAAGAACACUUUGACGGCCUACAGAUGGAGCAUGUCCCCAGAGUUCAGAAUGACAUUGCUGAUGGCCUGUCAAAGUGCGCCGCACUGAAGUUACCUGUGGAACCAGGGAUCUUUGUGCUCAAGUUGACUCAACCAUCCGUAACACCAUCAACUGGACAAAGCAAGAAGAGGAAGUUAAUUUUUGGUGACUACUUUCCGGCAGAGCUCCCCGAAGCCGCCGCCAAGAAAGUCCCCAAGAUCAACACCAAGGUUGCUGAGGGGCAGUCUGCUCCGGCAAGCCUUAUGGUUUGUUCCGUUGAAGCAGACGCUCCCGACAAGUUUUGCUCCGACAAGCUUGCCGGGGAACAUCAAGCUCCGGCAGGGCCGCAAGUCCUUGCCGUAGAAGCGGAUGUUCCCGCAACAGCAGAUGUGCCUUUAGUCCUUGUUGUCGAGCCACGAGCUCCAGCAUGGGCACAACAGAUUGUCCAUUUCCUUCAGACAGGAGAACUUCCCGAAGAGCAAAAAGAAGCGGAAAAAGUAGCCCGGCAGUCAAGUAUGUAUCAGUUUGUCGAUAGCAUACUGUACAGAAGAGGACUCAACGGUGUAAAUUUAAGUGUAUUUGCUGGGAAGACGGACAAAAGCACUUGUCGGCAAAGCUUUCCGGCAAGGUUUCUUUUGGCCGACAGCCCUCCAGGAUGCAACUGCACAAGUAACCAAGUGUGAAGCGUGCCAGUUCCACUCCAAACAGAUACACCAGCCAGCUCAAGCUCUCCAGACGAUCCCUUUAUCCUGGCCAUUUUCGGUCUGGGGGCUCGAUAUCCUCGGCCCCUUCCCCCGAGCUGUCGGGGGCUUUGAGUACUUGUACAUCGCAAUCGACAAGUUCACAAAGUGGCCGGAAGUGCAGCCAGUGAGGAAGGUGACAGCACAGUCAGCAGUCAAGUUCUUCAGGUCAAUUGUUUGCCGUUUCGGGAUCCCUAACAGGAUCAAUACCGACAAUGGCACGCAAUUCACGAGCCGCACCUUCAUGCAGUACGUCCAAGACCUUGGCGCCAAGGUCUGCUUCGCUUCUGUUGCUCAUCCGAGAAGCAACGGUCAAGCAGAGAGGGCAAAUGCUGAAGUGCUACGCGGGCUCAAGACCAGAACUUUCGACAGGCUGCGUAAGUGCGGAAGAAACUGGAUCGAGGAGCUGCUGGUGGUUCUUUGGUCGAUCAGAACGACACCAAAUCGAGCCACUGGCCAGACACCUUUCGCUCUAGUCUAUGGAGCAGAGGCAGUUCUCCCCACGGAACUCGUAUACGGAUCGCCUCGAGUGCUCGUUUAUGAUGAGCUUGAGCAAGAACAGCUGCGACAAGAUGACACACUGCUCCUCGAGGAAGAUCGUCUUCAGGCUGCUGUACGAGCUGCUCGAUACCAGCAAGCUUUGCGCCGCUAUCAUAGCCGCAAAGUUAAAGCCAGAAGCUUCGAGGAAGGCGACCUUGUUCUUCGGCGCGUUCAGUCCGCCAAGAAUUCCAACAAGUUGACGCCGAAGUGGGAAGGCCCUUAUCGGGUAAAACGAGUCACAAGGCUCGGCGCUAUCCGCCUUGAGACCGAAGAUGGCAUUCCAGUGAGCAACUCCUGGAACAUAGAACAUCUUCGUAAGUUUUUCCCGUAGGGCGCGGUUGCCGGAACCCGUUCCGGCAACCACCUUUUGUACAAGUCUUGCUGCUGUUGCAUGUAAUCCUUUGUACAAAGCCGGGCGCAGAUCCCGUGCAUAAGUAAAACCCCAUGUGCUCCGCACAACUUGUCCAUUUCAUGCAUUAGUUUCUUUCUCGCAUGUGUAAUCUGACACUUUGUGCAGCACCUACAUCCGGUAAGCAAUAACGAGCCGAAGGGCUCCAUAUUAUUAUUUUCUCUUCUUUCUUCUUUUCAACAAAGGAAAAGAAGGUUCCUUCGCACACAAGUUUACCGGGGGGAAGGAGAAGACUAUGGUAUGGACCAGGCGUCGUUCAAGCAAAAUUUUGCCUUGCCGGGAAGCAAACGACAGAAAAGCUAAGUUGCCAAAGUUUGAGCAAUCACUUUUUAAAUUUUUGAGUUAUCUUCCUCGAACGACCCUGCUUUGUAUGGAAAACCUGUGUGCGGAGGAACCAACUCGUGGCUAGUUGCGCCCUUACUUUGUUUCGAGUCCGCUCAACAACUUAAGUGUGCUGCAUCUAGUCGCGACAAAGUUUCUUGUCGAAAGCGGCGCUGCCAGCAGGCUGCUGAAGUUCCGCACUCAGCGCUCGCGGCUCGGGUGCCUGCGCCGACAAGUUCCCUAGAAGCAUAGGCUAAAAACAUACAAAGAAAGGAAUCUAGUAGAGGAAAUAACAUAGCAAUUGAUAACAGAAAUAAAAUUAUAUUACAAGAUAACUUGUCGCAGCUCUAACAGACUGUUUUCAUAACAUGAUUAGCAGCGACAAGGGAAAAGAAGAAAUGGGCGGCCUAGUCUACGCGUCCGCCCUUGACCCUCUUGAUCUCGCUCACCUUGUCCACAAUGGGUGCGACAAGGGCCUUGAGCGUGUCUUGAUCGGCGUCUGGCGGCAAGGACUUGAUGACGUUGGUGAAGCUGAGGCCUGGAUUGCGGAAGGCCACCUUCAUCAGCACCUUCUGGAGAACCCCGGCGCAGAUUUUGCGCGACUCGUCGGCCAGCUGAUUUGGGAUCCUCUCCCGGAGCCGCUGGAGUGUCGUCGCCACGCCCUUGAAGAACAGGCUGAGCUUGGCGCUGGGUUGGAGAUUCUCGUCGGAGGGAUAUCCAAAGUCCUCCAUCCCCAGCUGCGUCAGCUCCUCGUUGAUGACUGCGGCAACAUUCACCAGACCCUCGGUCCAGUGCUCCAUCGUGUCUCUGGACGAGUUCUGGGUAACUGCGAUGCUCUCCAGCAGCGCCUUGUCAGCUUUGACCUUCUCCGACAAGGUUUUCUCCCGCUCCUUGGCGGCCUCCAGCGUCUGCAUCAGCGUGGCCAGCUUCAACUCCAGGACCGCAUUGGAAUCCUUGGCGGCGCUGAGCUCCUUGCCUCUCUCAGCGAGAAGACCUUGCAGCUCACCGUGGGCGGCAGCAUCCUUCUCACGCUCACGCUUGAGCGCGGCAAUCUCCUCGCCACUCUUCCCAAUGUUGGCCUCCAGCUGCGCCACCUUCUCCUCCAGCUCUUUCUUGGCAGCCUCUGCGAUUGCCGCAGCACCCUUUGCCUCCUUGAGCGCCCCGCCAAGCGCUUGCUUGCGCUCGGCAAGCUCCUCCUCAUAGCUGUCGAGGUUGGCCUUCCGCUGCACCAAUUCGUCUUCCCGCGCAGACUGCUUCUCGGUGGCCAGCCUUUGCUCCUCCUCAGGUUCGGCCUUCUCGAGAAGGAAGGCCGUGUGCUCCUCGUCGAGUCGCUCCCGCUCCUGUGCCAGGGACCGGAGAGCCUCUUGAUUGUGGCCCCGAAGCUCCUCCGCGCGCUUCUCCAUGUCAGCUCCCGCUUUCGCGACAAGCGCUUCCCGGGAAGCCAGCUUGGCUUGCCGGGCGCGGUAGAGUGACAGCAGCUUCCGCAGCAGCUGCUCCUCCUCAGGCUCGCCACUGCUGCUGUCGGGCGCGUCAACCAACGAUAGUCUGGCGGAGGUGAGCACCUCCUCAUCAAAAGUCUCCCCCUCGACUGGCGCCCUGGAGCUCGACGCCCAGGGUAGCUUGAUGAAGAUACCGUCGCCGACCUUCAAGUAGGCGCCGGGCUGGGGCUCCUCGGAGCCCGGCUCCGCAGAAGCAGCAGAGGGAUCGGCGGUCGGUGUAGCGCCUGGCGCUCCUACGGCCUCAGGGUCGUCAGUGCGAUCGCCCGACCCCUCGCCGGCUUCUGCGGCGGCAGCCUUGGCGGCCUCCUCGCUGGCGGCCUCGUCAGCACCGGCCCCUUCCUCGCCGGCGCCCUCUGUCUCCAUUGGCUCAGCCGCAAAUGGGUCUGAAGAACGAAGAAGGGAGAAAAAUCAAUCCAAAAUCCAAGGGAAGAAAAUCAGAAGAAGAAGAACCCAAGGGAAAGUUUCUGGGCAAGUGGAUUACCUGUGCCAAGAUCUGCAGUUGCGGCCUCAGCCGCCGCAGGAUCAACGGUGCCGUCCCUUGCCGGAGAGUUCCCCCUUUCCGGAGAGCGCUCCCUUGCCGGGGACUCCUCCCUUGGCGGCGCAGUUGAAGCAGGUGGCACUUCGGGACCAGCUUCCGGGCGCUCCUGAUGUGACUGCUCUGCUCCUGCACAAAUCAACAAGCAAGAUAUCAAACAAAGGAAAAGCACUCAUGCGCGCCCGACAGCAAAAAAAAA
rnacentral:lncRNA from 1 species